GAAAUUCUUGAGGUGACCCAAGUUGCCCCAACCUCUAACUCACCAGAAUCAACGACUGAAUUCCGUCUUCCACUCACUUUCUGCGACAUAUUCUGGUUCAAGCUUCCUCCUGUUGAGCGCCUCUUCUUUUACCAACUCGACGAGUUAACCCCUGCCUGUUUCAACUCAGUUAUCCUCCCAAAACUCAAGCGCUCUCUUUCUCUCACACUCGUCCAUUACCUCCCCCUCGCUGGCAAUCUCAAGUGGCCACCAAACGAACCUAAACCCAUCAUUUUAUACACUCCAAACGAUGGAGUUUCCCUCACAGUUGCCCACUCCGAUGCCGACUUUAACAUCCUCUCCAGCGAUGGGGUCUAUGAUGCUGCUGAGUUGCAUCCUCUCAAACCUGACCUCGUAACUUCAGAUGUUUCGUCAUCAGCUAUAGCUGUGCAACUAACCCUUUUCCCAAAUAAGGGGUUCUGCAUAGGAAUCACAGCUCACCAUGCAGUUCUUGAUGGCCAAACCACAACCAUGUUCAUCAAAUCUUGGGCUUAUAUAUGCAAGCAAGGCAACGAAGAGAACUCACCCUUGCCACCUGAGCUAACACCAUUUUUCGACAGGUCUGUUGUCAAAGGUCCUGAUGGACUUGACAUGUUAUAUUUGAACCAGUGGCUAGCUAGUAGCGGGUCAGAUUCAGAUACAAGUAAGAAAAGCCUGAAAAUCACGACAAGUGCAGGAGGAGGAGCAGCAUCAGAUCUAGUUCGAGCAACGUUUGAGAUUACUCGUGAAGAUUUCAAAAAGUUAAGGGAAAGGGUGUUACCUAAACUAUCAGAUAGUGGGAAAGAAGUGCAUCUAUCAACUUUUGUUCUUUCGUUUGCUUAUGUAACAACUUGCAUGGUGAAAGCUAGAGGAGGAGAUGGAGAUAGAAAAGUUGCUUUCGCAUUCACAGCUGAUUGCAGGCCACGAUUAAACCCUCCUGUCUCACAAAACUAUUUCGGAAACUGUAAUAGACCUAAAUUUGAAGUGGCGAAAGCAAGGGAUUUCCUUGAUGAAAACGGGUUUGUGUUUGCUGUUCAGAAAGCAAGUGGGAUGGUUAAAGCUUUAAUGGAGAGAUGGGUUCUUGAAGGAAUGGAAAAGAUUCUAUCAGAUUGUUUCGAUGUUCUUAAAGAAGCAUCCGAGUCAAAGCUUCAAAUUAUAUCUGUUGCAGGGUCGCCUCGAUUUGGUGUUUAUGGAACAGAUUUUGGAUGGGGCAAACCCCAUAAGGUGGUAAUUGUUUCCAUUGAUAAGAGUGGAGCUAUUUCCAUGGCAGAAAGUAGAGAUGGGAGCGGGGGGGUUGAAAUUGGUUUGGCUUUGCAUAAGCACGAGAUGAACAAUUUUUCUUGGUUGUUUCCUAGAUGCGUUUAACGGGAGGGUUUAUUUUAAUUUAUUUUGUUGUUUUGUAAUAUUAUUUUAUUAAUAUUAUAUGAAAAUCAUGCUUGAUAUUAUGCUAUUUUUCAUUUAAGCAGAGGUCGAUUGCUCCACUUUAUGUUAUUUAAGCAGAAAAGAAAACAUGAGGAGGUGGUCGAUUGCUUACCCCACUUUUAUCUAUUUCUCCAAAUAAUACUUUAUUUGAUAUAUAUGUUAAGGAAAUUCCGAAAAACACUGAUGACUGAGAAGGGCCUUUAUUGGCUUCCACAAAAGCAUGUGCAUGCAUUAAUUAAGUGAUGGAGCCAUGUUAGCUGCAAGGGAGAAUUACCCAUAAAUGCCGGUAUGUUUGGAAAAUUACUUGAUUAGACUAGUUUUUCUAAAAUUUAUUGAAUUAGGCCAAAUUUGGAGAGAGAGAGAGAACGAAAAUGAGUGUUUUCCACAAUGCCUACCCCGCACCCCAACGGUCAAAUUAUAAUGUCCCCCCCCCCAACGGCUAUUUCAACGAAAUUUUAACCCCCCGUCUUUAAUCGGACCAUACUUGAGAGAUGCGAGAUUUUUGCAUAUGGCAUGUAUGGGUAGAUGGUGUAAAUUGGACCCCAUACUUAUAAGCGCGUUGGAGGAAAGAUGGAGACCCGAGAUGCACACAUUCCAUCUUACUAUCACACUCAAGGAUGUGUAGUUACAACUAGGGUUACCGGUGGAUGGGCCGAUAGUGAUUGGGUCAGUUGUCGCAACUAAUUGGAGAGAUGUCUGCGAGCAACUUUAGGAGAGGGUUCCAGACCUGAUUUAUGGAGCCUGGAUAGAUGCGAAUUGAUUGAAAAGAAAUUUUUUUGGGCUCAAUGCAAAGUCAAGUAAAGUUGAAAGAGUGUCAUAUUGAAGUUUGGUUUGGUAAACUUUGACGUUUGGCUAGUUAAUUAAGGAAAUAAGUCUAAAUCGUAAAAGGUGUAAAACUUAGUCUCUAUUGAUUGCUAUUAGUUAAAAUGUGUAUUUAAUGUUUGUUUAAGGAUCUAAAUGGUAAUUAUACCCUUUUUAAGGUUAUUGGACGGUUUGUGGAGGAAAUUGAAUUAAAUUUAUGUGUUUUAUAAUAUUAAUUUUAAAUUAAACAAAAGUUAAAACAAGUAAAACAAGUUUUCGUCUUCUUUAUUUGUUCUUCCAUCGAAAAACCAAACAUAAAAACACCAUGGAUAAAGCUUAAGCUUUGGCCAAAUGCAUGUAAGUGAAUUUCUAAUCCGUUUUUCAUAAAUUUUAUGUCAUUUAGGUUGUUGUAGUUUAAUCUAGCUAGCCUAGGGUCUAUUUUGAAAUACUUUCAAAGUUUUAAAAAAUUACCAUUGAUGUUCUUGAAGCUUUUUAGAUGUUAAUUCUUUAGUUCGAAGCUUGAUUUUGAAAUAAGACUAUUUUGUAAAGUGAUUUUGAAUAGUUUCAAAUUUAGGGACUGAAAUAAUAAAAUAUUGAAUUUAGCAUGAAAUUCUUGUAAAAUUUCAUUAAUUAUGGGUUGUAAAAGAGUAAAGGUGAAUUCAGCCUAAGGGUUUUGGGCUUAAUUUUUUUUUAAAAAUAAGUUUCAAUUUAAGGACUAAAGUGAAUAAAAGGUAAAAGUUUAGGGAAAAUUGCUAAAUAGUCCUCAGUGUGGUGUUAUAAUGAUGGAAGGAGUAUGAGAAUUUAGUUAAGGCCCGUGUGAGCUUAGUGAAUGAUUAAGAUACAAAUGACAUGUUAUUAGGGUUUAUCAAGCAUUAUGUAUUAGUGACCAUAUUAUUAGGUACUUUGUACCGGUGAUAUAUUUAUGGUUCAUGUGCAUAUCAUGUUAAUAGAUAGUAUGGAAUGAUGUACUAACCUAUUUGGUUAUGUUGUGAAAGGUAUAAGGUGAUUACGGAAUGAUAAGCAUGUAUGUUAUUUGCAUUAAGUGAAUUAUGAAAUGCCACGUACAUUGUGCUUAAAUUUUAUACGAACUUACUAAGCUUUAAGUAAGCUUAACUUGUUUCAUUUUCUUCCUUGUAGAUUGUCGGAUUCGUGUUAUCAAUUGGAUCGUCUUUGGAGAAUUACACUAUCUGUCAACUCUUUUGGUAGAUUUUUAUCCAUUUUGGAAUAGGGUAUAAAUGGCAUGUAAAUAGGUGUUUUGGUUACAAAUGUACAUAUAUGCAAGUUGUGGGUUGAAAUAGUACAUGAAUGUUAAACUGGUAUUUUGGCUAAGUUGGUAGCUUUAUGGAUAUGAAAGUCUAUUUAUAUGAAAUUCUUUGAUCUUGCUCUAUAGGUUAUAAGGUACUAUGGAAUGGAUAGGUAUGGCAUGUAAAUACAUUAGAUGUUAUAUGUUUGAGCUCCUACGUAACACUUCGGGUGAAGUAGAUUUUGAAUUGGUUAAGUUAGGUUAUGUGGUCCAUAAGGUAAGGUUAUGGUAAGUGUUUAUAAAUGCUAUGUUUUGGUAUUUGAAAUGAUGAUAAUGUGAAAAUGUUUUCGUAUGUGAUUUUUAGUAUGAAUGAUAAUGAAUGUGUGAUUGUAAAUGGUUCAAUUGAGGUGCCAAGUGUGGCAUAUUGGUUAGGCACUUACGAUGGAUGUUUUAAGGUGUGGUUUUGGAAUAUAUUUUUAUGUUUUUUAUCAGGUUGAUUAAUGGUUAAAUGGUUACUUGUGACUUAAGUGAACCUAGGAUGUUGUUGCUUGGUUUAAAAGGUAUUUUAGGUGCACACAGUCUAAUACACGGUCUGCCACAAGAUAGUGUGCCAUACAUGGGCAUAUGGCAUGGCUAUGUGGUCUAUUUAAUUUAGGUGCUCAUUGGUCCACACAACUACGUACAGUUUGUUACACGGCCUGGCAACAUAACCAUGUGACCCAGUCUUACAUGGCUUUAGUUUGUUCCACGGCUUAGACAUACAACCAUGUCUUCUAGCAUCAUAGGGCAUCAGCCUAUCACAUGGCCUGGCCACCCUACUAUGUGACCCAUGUUUUUACUUUUUACUUAUUAUUUCAUAAAAGUUUCAAAUUAGUCUUGAUUUGUUUUCGAGUUGGUUUAAAAGCUUCGUAAGCUCAAUUAAGGCUCGGUUUUGGUUGUAAAUCAUAUUACAAUGAUGUGGUUGAAUGCUUGAUGCUUUAAUUUUAUAUUUAAGUUGAAUUCUUGGAUGAUAUAUGUUGUUAACUGUUGUAACAUCUUGUAGCUCGGGUCCGACAAUCGAAUUAGGUUAGGUGUGUUACAUUACAGGUUUAUUAAAGUUCAAUGGUUAAUACUAUGUCGUGCUACUGAACGUGUCCGACAAUUUUCUAAACUUCACAAUUGACUUCAAUCGUCGUUCACAACCAUCAUUGCCCUUCCAAUUGAUUCCACUUCUUCUGGGAUCUUGCCAUUUAUCACAUUCCUUCAUAAUUUGGUUUCUUACACGAACACAACUGAAGAGAUGUCCUCGAUUGAGGCUGUUAUAGGUUAAAUUGAAUAAGGCAUAACAUUCAUCCCCUAUUGAUCCCUCACUUUGGGAAUUGAGGUUGCAUUUGAAAGCUUCUAUUUUGUCAUCGAUUUUUAUAAUAACCUUGUUUUGCUCGAGAUCGAUAGUCGAUUUAAAAGUGGCCAAAAAGGGCCUACCCAACAGAAUUGGGAUUUCCCAAUUUUCCUUAAAGUCAAGGACUAAAAAUUUUAUGAAGAUUAUGAAUCCCUACCUUAACUAAUACAUCCUCAAGUACACCUUUCGGGUGCACUAAAGAUCUAUCGAUAAGUUGUAGCAUUAUUGAGAUGUUCUUGAGAUCCCCGAGCCUGAGGUUCCGAUUGAUCAAAAGGGGUAUUAAAUUUAUGCUAGCCCCUAAAUCGUAGAGGGCCUUACUAAAGUGUCAAUCCCCUAUCUCUAUUGGAAUUGCGAAACUACCUGGAUCUUUUAAUCUUGGGGUAUCUUAUUUGCGAUUAGCACGUUAUGCGAAGCAUCAAUGUCAAUUUGCUCGCCUUUUUUCAUUUUCCUAUGUUGUUUCAUAAUUUCUUUUAGGUACUUGGCAUAUUUUGGAAUUUUAUUGAUAAGCUCUAAAAGCGGUAGUUUGACAUUGAGGGAUUUAAAUAAAUUCAGAAAACAUAACAAAUCAUUCUCAUCCCUUUUUUGCUUGUCUUCUAGUCUUGUCGUGAAUGGUGUUGUCUUUGUGCUUUGAGUUGAGACUACUAGAUCAGGCACCGGUUCGUUUACCUCUUCGAUUGGCUCUUAAUCCUUGGCUUCUUCCUCCCCCGUGUAUUCAUCGACGUCUUCUGGAAUCACUUCCUCUUCAUGGAUGGGCCUGCUUGGCGAGACUUCAAUUCCUUACCCGAUAGCAAUGUGAUCGCCUUUAUGUGUUCCUUUCCAUCUCUCCGAGGAUUAUUCUCCGUCUUACUGGGGAGACCCUGACCACUUUGUUUUUGAAGCAUCAACAUUAACUGGCUCAUUUGGUCGUAAAGAUUAUCUAUUCUGGAUUUGAGUCAUCCACAUGUAGCUUGGUUUCCUCUCCACUUGAGGUUCACAUGAUCUAUCAAACCAAGAUUAUAGGUAUUUGAAUAGGGAUAUCGACCCCUAUUAGCUACAUAACUUGCUUCUUCUGGUCGGUCCUCAUAAUUUGGCUCCGUUCUUAUCGGCUUGACAAGCGUCUCCAAACAAUUGAGCUUCUCUAAGAUUUGUUGGAAUCAAUCAUCGUCGUUUUCUUUGUUCACCUUUUCUUCGUCCUCAUAAUUUGUACGUAAACCUCUCAUUGGGCCAUAUGUACAAGUUCAUAGUCAUAUCUUUUAUGAUUUUGUAGGCUCGUUUGUACGUAUGAAACAUGAGAGAUCUGCCAGAUGCUUCAUCUAAGCUAGAUUUAAUGUGUCCAUCAACACCGUUACAGAAAAUUUGUAUUUAGAGCCACGCUUGCAGUCUAUGGUGUGGGCACUUCCCCAUCAUUGUCUUGAAACGCUCCCACUCCUCGUACAAGGUCUCACAUUCGUAUUGGUUAAAGUUGGUGAUUUCUCCCCUGAAUUGUAUGGUUCUACUUAUCAAGAAAAGUUUAUAAAGAAUUUUUUCUACUAGAUUGUUCCACGUAGUAAUGGAACCUGGUUCUAAUGAGUCUAACCAAUCGGCCGCGUUGCCACACAUAUAAAAUGGAAAUAAUCGAAGACUCAUAGCAUCAUUAUAUGCCCCGUUGUACUUGAAGGUGUCAUAGAGUUGUAAGAACCGAUUCAAGUAUUGGUUCGGGUCUUCCACCAUGUUCUCCUUGAAUUGCAGCAUGUUUUGGAUCAUUAGAGUUAUGUCCCGAAAUCACCAUUUUCGAUCAUACUAGAAAACGAACUAAUUAGUAAAUCCUUAUUUAAUUAGGAUUUAAUUGCAAUUUACCACAAUCUAGAGAGUUCUACAUCAUUUCUAUUAUUAGGUCAUUUAGGGAGGGUCCAAUUAUAAAAUUGGUCCUUCAAUUAUAUUAAAUUCCAAUUAAACAAACUUAUUUACAAUUUAACCUUAAAAUAGUUAGGACUAAAUAAAUAAAUAACCCAAAAGUUAGUAGAGUGAUUGACAUCCACCACCCCUUGGACUUUUUGACCAUGGUUUAAUCACCAUUUUGGUCCCUUUACUAUUUUAAAUCUAUAGUAAUUAAGUUUUACCUCUUUUACAAUUUAAUCCUUUUACCUUAAUUAAGCAAUAAAUCAUCAAAAUUUCCGGACCAAACUUCAAUUCACAUAUAAUACAUCUCUGAAAAUAUAUAAUAAAAAUAUUUACAACCUUAAAUUACGAAAAUGGGUUCCAAUACCUCAUUUUCAUAAACUACUCGACUUUUGAACUGAACCACUUAUACUAACUUUUAAUUUAAUUAGUUAAAAUUCCUUAAAUCAAAAUUUAAUAUAAAAAUUAUUAUUGACUCAUAAUUUGUGUAUUAAUUAUAUGAACUUACUCGUCGGAUCUGUAUUCCUGAAACCGUUGUUUCCGACACUAUUGAAAAAUAGACUGUUACAACUCUCUCACCCUUAGGAAAUCUCGUCCUCAAAAUUUUUAUCUGAAAAUAGAAUCGAGUAUUGUGACUUCUUCAAUUACUCACCUUAUUUCCAAACUGAAAAAUAAUUAUUGGAGCUUGCUCUCACCGUCAACGAUGUUUCGGCCCUUUUUAGAAGAAGACAUAAAAUUCAUGAUCAAUUUAACUUUUAUUUCAUUUAAAUUUCAUUUAUUUACUUAAUUACUAUUUUACCCUUAAUUAAAUCGUCGAAUUUCGACUACACGGAAGCCAAACCCCUUUAAUUUAUCUUUUAACUAAUAAAUUUAUAUUUUCUCAUAUUUACAAUUUAGUUCUUUUUACUUAAUUAAUAAUCCAAACAUUAAAAUUUUUUAACCAAAUUUUAAUAUGAUGCUAAUGACCUCAUAAAUAUCAAAUAAUUAAUUUUUAAAGCUUGACUCAUCAGAGUUGUGGCCCGAAACCACCAGUUCCGAUCAUACUAGAAAACAAACUAAUUAGUAAAUCCUUAUUUAAUUAGGAUUUAAUUGCAAUUUACAACAAGCCAGAGAAUUCCACAUCAUUUCCAUUAGGAGGCCAUUUGAGGAUGGUCCAAUUAAAGAGUUAGUCCUUCAAUUAUAUUAAAUUCCAAUUAAAUAGACUAUUUACAAUUUAAACUUAAAUUAAUUAGGACUAAUUAAAUAAAUAACCCAAAAGUUAGUGGAAUGAUUAACAUCCAUCACCGCUUGGACUUUUUGACCAUGGUUUAAUCACAUUUUGGUCUCUUUACUAUUUUAAAUCUAUAGCGAUUAACUUUUACCUCUUUUACAAUUUAAAUUUUUUACCUUAAUUAAGUAAUAAAUCAUCAAAAUUUCCAGACCAAACUUCAAUUUACAUAUAAUACGACUCUGCAAAUACUUAAUAAAAAUAUUUACGACCUUCAAUUAUGGAAACAUUGUCCCAAUACCUCAUUUUCACUCGACUUUUGAACCGACCACCACUUAUACUAACUUUUAAUUUAAUUAGUUAAAACUCCUUAAAUUAAAAUUUAAUAUAAAAAUUAUUAUUGACUCUUAUAAUUUAAAUACUAAUUAUACGAAUUUACUCGUCGGAUUUGUGGUUUUGAAACCACUGUUUUCGACACCACUAAAAAAUAAACUGUUACAACUCGUCCCUCCUUAAGAAAUUUCGUUCUCGAAAUUUAAACCAAAUCAUUACACAAUUAACAAUUCCAAUUAAAUUAAUAUUUUUAUUAUUUAAAUAUUCAAAUUGACUAGAAAAUCGAAUUUAAUAAUUUAAAUGGUACCAUAAUUUAUUUAAUUAAAUAUUAAAUAAAUGGAUUUAAUAGAAAUUAAAUAGAAUAAGAAUAGAAUUUAAUAGAACGAAAUUUUUAUCUAAAAAUAGAAAUUGUGACUUUUUCAAUUACUCACCUUGUACUAUAGUUAUUAGAGCUUGCUCUAACCUUCAAUGUUGUUUCGGACCUUUUUUUUGAAGAAAACGACAUGGAAUUCAUAUCCAAUUUGACUUUUAUUUCAUUUAAAAUCCAUUUAUUUACUUAAUUACUAUUUUACCCGUAAUUAGUUUUAGUUAAAUGAAAGCUAAAACCGUCCGCUGUGGAUAAUGGUGGUUUAUUUACUAUUCAAACCCCUUUAAUUUACCUUUUAACUAAUAAAUUUAUCUUUUUUAUAUUUACAAUUUAGUCUUUUUUCCUGAAUUAACCAUCCAAGCGUUAAAAGUUCCUAACCAAAUUUUAAUACGAUGCUAAUGACCUCAUAAAUAUUAAAUAAUUAACAUUUACACCCUCACACAUUGGAUUUGUAGCCCGAAACCACCAUUUCUAAUCAUACUAGAAAAUGAACUAAUUAGUAAAUCCUUAUUUAAUUAGGAUUUAAUUGCAAUUUACCACAAUGUAGAGAACUCUACAUCAAUUCUAUGAUUAGGUCAUUUAAGGAGGGUCCAAUUACACAAUUGGUCCUUCAAUUAUAUUAAAUUCCAAUUAAACAAACUUAUUUACAAUUUAGCCUUAAACUAAUUAGGACUAAAUAAAUAAAUAAUCUAAAAAAGUUAGUGGAAUGGUUGACAUCCAUCACCGCUUGGAUUUUUUGACCAUGGUUUAAUCACCAUUUUCGUAAACUAUUUUAAACCUAUAGCAAUUAACUUUUACCUCUUUUACAAUUUAAUUCUUUUACCUUAAUUAAGCAAUAAAUCAUAAAAAUUUUCGGACCAAACUUCAAUUCACAUAUAAUACGACUCUACAAAUACUUAAUAAAAAUAUUUACGACCUUAAAUUAAGGAAACGGGAUCCCAAUACCUCAUUUUCAUAAACCACUCGACUUUUGAACCGAACCACUUAUACUAACUUUUAACUUAAUUAGUUAAAAUUCAUUAAAUAAAAAUUCAAUAUAAAAAUUAUUAUUGACUCAUAUAAUUUAAAUACUAAUUAUACGAACUUACUCUUCGGAUUUCUAGUUCUAAAACUAUUGUUUCCCACACCAUUAAAAAACAAAUUUUUACAACUCUCCCCUCCCGGAGAAAUUUGGUCGAAAUUUUUAUGUGAGAAUAGAAUCAAAUAUUGUGAAUUCUUCAAUUACUUAGUUGAAUCAAGAUUCUACGAUAAUUCAACGGUGUUUCGGCCCGUUUUGAAAGAAGAAGACAUGAAAUUCAUAGCCAAUUUGGCUUUUAUUUAUAUAAACUUCAUUUAUUUACUUAAUUACUAUUUUACCUUAAUUAACUCAUGAAAGUUUAGCUAAAUGAAAUUCAAAACCGUCCACUAUGGAUAAUGGUAGUUUAUUUACCAUUCAAACCCCUUUAAUUUACCUUUUAACUAAAAAAUCCAUCUUUUUCUAUAUUUAUAAUUUAGAUCUUUUUAUUUAAUUAAUCAUUCAAACAAUAAAAUUUUUUAACCAAUUUUUAAUACAAUGCUAAUGGCCACGUAAAUAUUAAAUAAUUUAUAGUUACGGCCUCACAUAUCAGAGUUGUGGCCCGAAACCACCAUUUUUAUCAUACUGGAAAACAAACUAAUUAGUAUAUCCUUAUUUAAUUAGGAUUUAAUUGCAAUUUAUGACAAGCUAGAGAAUUCCACAUCAUUUCUAUUAUUAAGCCAUUUAAGGAUGGCCUAAUUAUACAAUUGGUCCUUCAAUUAUAUUAAAUUCCAAUUAAAUAGACUUAUUUACAAUGUAGCCUUAAACUAAUGAGGACUAAAUAAAUAAAUAACCCAAAAGUUAGUGGAAUGGUUGACAUCUGCCACCGCUUGGACUUUUUAACCAUGGUUUAAUCACCAUUUUUUUCACUUUACGAUUUUAAAUCUAUAGCGAUUAAUUUUUACCUCUUUUACAAUUUAAUCCUUUUACCUUAAUUAAGCAAUAAAUCAUCAAAAUUCUUGGACCAAACUUCAAUUCACAUAUAAUACAGCCCUGUAAAUAUUUAAUAAAAGUAUUUACGACCUUAAAUUACGGAAAUGGGGUCCCAAUACCUCAUUUUCAUAAACCACUCGACUUUUGAACUAAAUCACUUACACUAACUUUUAAUUUAAUUAGUUAAAAUUCAUUAAAUAAAAAUUCAAUAUAAAAAUUAUUAUUGACUUGUAUAAUUUAAAUGCUAAUUAUACGAAUUUACUCGUUACAUUUUUUGUCUCGAAACCACUGUUUCCGAUACUACUAAAAAACUUAUUUUUAUAGUAAAUAUGUUAUAUGUGCGAGGAUGAUAUGUAUGAAGUAUUGUAUGAAUAGAAAGUUGAAUGGUAUGUAUGUUGGUAACACUUGGUAUAGGAAAGUACAAAUCGGUCAGGUAUGUGAAUAAAUUUGAGUAAGAGAAUGAUGAUUAAAAUAUCCCUUUACGAUGGCUCUGUUAAGGCAGUUAUAUUGCUAACCAAAUUGGCAGAUCAUGAUACGAAAAUAAGUGUAAGACUACGUGGCUGAGACCCAUGGCAUAAUAUGAUAUUAAGACACUCAUGGUGAUGCCUCUAGUAAGAUGAAGGUUGGACUGAUAGAUCACCACAGGAGAAUGUGUAAGUCCAUGUGGCUGAGACCCAUGGCAUAAUAUGAUAUAAAGACACUCAUGGUGAUGCCUCUAACAAGAUGAAGGCUGGACUGGUAGAUAUGAUUGUAAUAGCCCGAUUUUUAGUGAUGUCGAAAACAGUGGUUUGAGACCACCAAAUUCAGAAAAUGAGCUCAAAAUUUUAUUAUUUAAUAUUUACGAGCCAAAUGUGGUUUUUAAAAGAUUUUUAAAUUAGUAAAUUUGUGGUUAUAAGGAUUUAUUAAAUUAAUUGAUUUAAAAAAUGAGGUAUCGAUACCUCAAUUUUAUAAACUGAGCCGUAAAUAUUUUUAUAAAUAUUUACAGAGUGUCAUUAAGGUAGUAUUAAAAUUUUGUUAGAAAAUUUUAACUUUUUGGUGGUCAAUAAAUUAAAAAGGAUUAAAUUGAAAAAGGUGCAAAACUUGUUAAAGUGAUUAAAUAGCUUAACAAUUAAAUAAGGGAGGAAUAAAAGGGAAAAUGGACCUAUUUUAAAUGGCUAAGGCGGCCUAGCCUAAAAAAUAUAAUAAAAAAAUCAAAGAUUUUAUGUGAUUAAGGGCAAAAUUGGAAUUAAAAUAAAGUUUAUAUCGCCAAAUGUGAUUCUAAUAGUUUCUAGACAUUUUCUUCAUCAUUUUUCUGUCAAAAAUAGACAUUAAAGAAGGUUUAAGCUGGUCUUUCAUAUUUUAGCUUCAUGUAAGUUUAAUUCUUGCUUUUUCCUUGAAAUUUUUAUAUUUUUGGACUUUUACAACUAGGUCCAACUUACUAUUUCAUUAGUUUUUGGAUUUUUUUGAAAGUUUUGGAAGUUACCAUUGAUGAAUUCAUAUGAUUUUAGUUAUUAGAUCAUGAAAUUGAGAUCAUGGCGGUAUUUUAUUAAGGAAUUUUGGAUGAAAUCAUGAAUUAAGGGGUUAAAUUGUGAAAAUGCUAAAUUCGUGGAAAAUUCUGAUUUUUGUGAAAAAUAUGUGCUGUUAUAGUUAGAUAUAAAAUUUAUCUAGGCUUGGAAUAAGGGUUAAAUUGCAUGAAUUUGAUUUUUUGAGCCUAGGGAUGAAAUUGUUAUUUCAUAAAAGUAUAGGGGCAAAAUAGUAAUUUUACCUAAGAUGUGACUUGGAUAGAAUUGAAUUUAAAUUGUAAUAAAUUAAUGUUAAAUUUACUUUUAUAGAUCAGGAUAGACCAAAUACGGAGCUAGGUCGUGGUAAAAAAAGUAUCGGAUUAAUAGUUUUCAACUCACGAACAAUUGUCGAGGUAAGUUCGAGUAACUAAAUUGUGUAUAUUUAUAUGCUUAAAAUUGAAUGUUGAAUAUGUAAAUUGUAUAAAUUUCAUGUAUGUGUAUAUAAUUUACCUCAUAUCCGACAAUUCUAAAUAAAUAAAUAAGUUCUGAUAAAAUGAAUGAAACUCGAUUGGAUACAGAGUUUUGUUUCCCAAAAUGGUAAUGUUCUUGCAUAUGUUGCAGACGUACCGUAGCUCAAUAGAGCGACUCGUUACAAGCCCUCUCAAGCUUUCCAUUAUAGUGUUCUUGCGAGCUUCCCGUUAAAUGCUCUUCGGAGCAUCCUGACUGGUUGUGUUCUGCAUAUGUUGUAGACACACCCACGCUCUUAUGGGCGUUUUGUUUAUAGGUUCUUUGUGAACCUCCUGUUAAAGUGCUCUUCGGAGCUUCCCAUUAGUGCUUGCUUGAACUUCCCGUUAUAUAGCUCUCAUGUGCUUUCUGAUUAAUUGCUCUUCAGAGUUUUCCGUUAAGUGCUCUUCGGAGCUACCUGUUAUAGGCUCUUUGUGAGCUUCCCGUUAUAUUGUCCGGAUAAGCUUCCCAUUACAUGGCUCAAUGAGCUUCCUCUUAUAGUGUUUGAGAGAGAGAGCUUUCUGUUUAAGUGCUCUAAUGAGUACUCUCAGACAUGAAUUGACAGAUUUCUGAUUUGUACACUUUAUGUGUACUACCUUCGUAUCCAUCGAGAUUUCAAAUGAUUCAACGAGUGAUAUUCUGACAUGAAGACAAGUGAAAAUCAAAAAUGAAAUCAAUAUCUGAAAAAAUACAUAAAAUGCAGGGAACUUGGUAUUGGAUGAGCUCAUCUUUGUUAUUGAUAUUUACAUGAAUCGAAUAACUAACAUAUUUGAUGAGAUUGUGUGCUUAGGCUAUGGCCAAGUUGUUUGGAACGCAUGUGUAUGUUUACUUAAUGUACAAAUGAAUGGUAAGUUUAUUUCCCGUUAUACGAACUUACUAAGAACAAAGUGCUUACUCGGUUUUAUUUCCUUUGUUUUAUAGUACUCAAAAGCUCGUUGUGUUGGAAGCUUGGCGGAGAUCAGUCAUACUAUCCAUCGUCUCACUUUGGUAUAAUUAUGAAAUUAUUUUUGGAUAUAAUAGCAUGUAUACGUUUGGUUAGCCAAAGUUGGCAUACAAAUAUUUUGGUUGUAAAUAACCAUUGGAAUGGCUUGUGAUGAAUGUGUUUUGGUAUAUUAACAUAUGAGUUAAUUUCAUGUUUGGUAUAAGUGCUUAAUUUGGUUUAUGAAUAUUAGUAUGGUAUUAAGUAAAUGUGGUCAAAUAGAUAAAUUCAUAAACAUGUAUUUAUGAAGUGAUAUGGUAUGUAUGAGACUUGAGUUUUGCCUGAUUUUAAAUAUUUUGUAUUGGCUUUUGGAUGUGUUAAAAUGUUUGUGUAGGUGAAUGGUCAAAUGGAUGAGAAAUAAGGCUUCAAAAUGGCCUUAUUUUAUCCACAUGAGCAGAUACACGGGCGUGUGUCUCAGCUGUGUGUGACACAGGGCCUAGCACAUGAGUGUGUGUUCUAGCCGUAUGUCCCAUACAUCUAAAAAUUCAAAAUAGAAUACUCAUUAUUUUUCACACGACCUGACACACGGACGUAUAACUUGGCCGUGUGUCCCCGGCUCUUAAUUAAGUUACAAGUCAGAGAGUUACAUGGGUUAGGGACACGGGCAUGUGCCCUACCUCAUACGCCACACGGCUUGAAACAUGGGCAUGUCACUUGGCUGUGUGAGCCACACGGCCUGACUACACGGGUAUGUGACCUUUGAACCUAGAAAAAUUUUUAAAAUUUUGCCAAAAUUUUUUUGAGUUUUUGAUUCAGUCCCGACUCGUUUAUAAUAAAUGAUUUGGGCCUCGAUGGCCCAUAGAAUGGAAAAUAAUGUUAAAUUAUAAUUAAUUUUCUGAUACUAUUGUGAAAUAACAUAAAAUAUCUGAAUAUGAUUUGUAAACUUUAGUAAUGCUCCUAAACCUUGUUUCGACGACAGAUACGAGUUAGGGGUGUUACAAUGAUAGUAUGUCCUUGCGGCUGAGACCCACGACAUGAUAUGAUAGUAUGAAUAUUCAUGGUGAUUUCUUUAGUAAUAUGCAAAUCGAACUGGCAGAUCAAGACAUGAAAAUAUGUACAAGUCCAUGAGGAAAAAAUUCAUGGCACUUUCUAUGAAAGUCCAUCGGGACAGUAAACACUUGAAUUUCUAUGUUGCCUAUGUGGCAUGAUCUGCUAAACCUUUGUGGCGUAUUCUAUAUAGCCUAUGUGGCAUAUUUUGUAUGGCCAUUGUGGCAAAUUAUGAAUUGUAUCAUUAGCAUCUUCGUUAAUGUCCAUAUGGUAGAAUAUAGUUAUCCACCCCUAUAGUAAAUUCUAGAUAAGUUUUGAGAGUUCUCUGAUAGAUAGGUUUAUGAUAAGGAUAUGUUACGUAUGAAUUUAAUUUAAUUUGAUUAGUUCUGUGCUGUAGUCGUCGAAUGCGGUUUAAGGAAAGUUCCUGGAAGAAUAUAUGUAUUUGUAUUGUUAAUAGGGGUAUUUGCCAUAGUAACCUACCAGUUUAGAAUAUAGGAGUAUUCUUAGAUAUGGAAGAUAUAAGUAUUCGUUUAUUUGAUUUUGUCUCUGUAAAAUAGAGAUGAAAUUUUUGUCAUUUGGUAUUGGCCAUGUCUGAAUGGCAUCAUGUCUGGUUCUGGGAUCUUAUGGAAUCUGAGUUGUUGCCAUAUUGGGUUUUCUUAUGUUUUGUAACAAAGGUGUUUGGAAUAUUUUUUAAGGAUCUGGAUAGUUCAGAAUCAGUUUGAGUAUAUGUUGGCCUUUAAACUAGGACAUGACCUGUUGGGCAAACUGAUAGCAUCAUACUCAGUAUAGGAAUUUGCUAAAAAUGUGAAUUCAGUUAGUAAGUUUCUGCCAGUGAGUAGUAUCUGUGAAUAUCAAUUCUAGAAAAUGUUUGUAUGAAGAGUAAAUUUGUAUAAAGAGGGUUCGAUAGAAAUAUUCCUUUGAGAAGUAUCUUUCUUGUUCUAUGAGAAAGAAGAUAACAAUAUAUUGUCUGAUAAGACCUGAAGGUAGCCAAUUAGUAAAAAAGAAAGUUGAUAUGUUAAGGAUGGUGGUUGGCGUAUACGUGCAAGACUAAUAUUAUGAAAGUAUUUGCCCCAAAACAUAUACGACAGGUUAAGUAUGAAACUGGCGUGCAUGAAUACAACUGAAAUUAUAAAAGUACCCACCAAGGUAUUCUGUAUUAAAGCUCACUAAGUUCUCUUGAAAUUACAUAUUGUCAAAACCUUUUUUUUUUGAAAUCGACUUUAUUUUGCAAAAGAGAAUGGGAGUCGGCACCAAUCUUUUUUAAGAGGUGUGAUCGGGUCACCUUAUAAUUUGAUCGUUUUAAUAAGAGAUUUGAUUUACUAAAAUAAAGAUUUUUGGUCUACGAAAUUCAGGAAACGGGUUCAGGAGUCGGUUACGCACGAGGAAGGAUUAGCACCCUCGUGGCGUCAAAAUCGGUAACUAGUUGAUUAAUUAAAUUCUUGGUGUUGAAAACUGAAAAUCCGAAAAGAAUUUAAAAAUACAAUCCCUCUUUGUAUUAAUAUAUUUGCUUAAAAAAUGCUUGAAUAAAUUGAAACGCAUGUUAAAGACUCUCUCAUCUCGCAGUGACAAAAUGUCACAUCCUGUAAGUUAGGACACGACACCUCGAACAUUUGAGAAUAAGCUUGCCUUUUAUUUUUUAUUUAAAUCUUAUUAUUUUGAUUUUAAAAGGAUAUUCGGUAAUUUGAUUUCAACGAGAGAAUCGAAACCCCGUGAGUUAGGGUACAAUUUCUCGAAGCUCUAAACACGGAAUAUUGCCUUUAUUUCUAAAAUUUUUUGAAUAAAUACACAUGUAAUGUUUAAAACUAUACAUAUUUAUUUUAUUUGGAUUAUAGUGUAAAGAACGAAUAUUUAAACACGGCUCGCGACAUAAUUGGAACAAUAAUAGCAUUCGCGAAUAAGCGAAAUGACGAUAUAUCGCGAAUAAUGAGAUGACAAAUAAGCAAUGGCAAUAAUCAAUUAAAUCUAAUGUUAAUUAAACAAUAAAAAAUAAUAAUAAAAUAAAGUGGAAUAUACAUGAUAAAAAUAAUAGAUAUGGAAGUAUAAAAAAAGGGGAAUAAGUAACAAAGAAGAAUUAAAAUAAUAUAAUGAUGAUAAUAGUAUACUUUUGCGUAAAUAAGAGAUUAUAAACAAUUAUAUAAUAAUAAACAAGUAAGUGAAGAAAUAAUAGAUAAAAUGGAAUAAUAAAAAUAAUGUAUAUAUAUAUAUAUAUAUAUAAAGAAUACACCAUAAGAAAAAAAACGAGCCAAUUUGAAAUACUAAAAAACAAUAAUAAAAGAAAUGAUAGGAACGUAAGUAAACAAAAAAAUGAAUCAUUAAUAAAAAAUUGAUUAAAGAUUGAAAUUAUACAAAUAAAUAAAUAAACUAGACACUUUGAAAUAGUACAAAAUUUGAAGAUAAAUAGAUUAAGGGUGGAAUUGAAAUUAAAAGGAGGUUUUGGGCCUAAAUCAUAAUAAAAUAAAUGCCUAAAGGACUAAAUUGAAGUUUAAACGGAAUUUUGGGCAAAAAUCGGAAAUGAAAAUAAAGUAAAGGACCAAGUUGUAACGCACGAAUAAUAAGAAAGGACCAAAUGGAGAAAUAACCCAAUCCUCUUGACACGUGUCCCUUCUCUAGUAGAUCAACGAGCGAGGGACUAAAUUGAAACACGCGACAAAUUCGAUGGCCAAAUCUAUAAAAAGAAAAAAGUAAAAAAGGACUAAAUUGAUGCGCUACUCAAAAUCGAAAGGACUAUUCGUGCAAAUAGCCCAAACGUUGAAAACAUGCGAAUCCUAGCUCUCGGGUCGGGUCGGGUCAGACGUGGGCCAAAGCCAAAAUGACACCGUUUGGGGUUUAAGGAAACAAACAAAACGACGUCGUUUCCUACCUCUAUUUAAGUAAAAAAUUUCCCAAAAAAAUCAUUUCAUCUAUACUUCUAAAAAAAAACUGAAAUCCUCUCCUCUCUCUCCGAGCCACCCAUCGGCCAUCCUUAGCUCCGACGAUUCGCCGCUGUAUCGACCACUGGUCACCGGCGACGGCGCCUCCAUACACGGUGGCCGAAAAGUCCAAAAGCCUAUUUUUUAUUAUCUUUUCGAGUAGAACCGAGGUUUGGGGUUGAAAUGCCCAAAAAAGCCCUAAAAUCCAAAAAGAAAUGAAAGAACCUUUCGGUUCUGCCCUCCUCCGUCGCGACCCUUAGGCGAACCCCCAAGGGUCCGUCAGUCUUCCAAAACAGAGGGAGAGGCAACGGCGAUUAAUGUAAGGUUUUGUUGUUUUAUUUUUAUGUAUAUAUUUUCAAAAAUAAAAUAUAAAGAAAAAAAUAUCACCUUUUGGAUUUUUGAAUUCUGUUUUUGAUUAAUCUUGUGUGUAUAUUUCUCUGUAAAAAACUACAAACUGGUGGUGGUGGCUUUUAUAGCCAGUUUACAUACUUGUAUUUGCUAUUUUUUUGCUUGCUUUUGUUUCUACUACUGUCUCUCGUGCUGUUUCUUUUUUGGUUUGUUUGCAGGUUUUAGCGAGGUCAACGGAAAGGCCUUUGCCAUUUCGGUGCAAGGCGGCUAGGCCUCGAGCGGUAGGCACGCUGCGAAGGCACGUGAGGGGCAGCAGAGGGUGCGGCACAAGGCAUUAGGGUUUUUGUUUUCUUCUGAAAACAGUUUAGGUUGUGGGCUAGGGUUUUUGGUUAUUUUGGGCCAUAUGGGCCUACUGUAAUUUGGACUGUAAUUUUUAUUUUUAUUAUUUAUGUUUUUGUUUGGGCCCAAGUAAUUUGGGCUGAUUACAGCUACCCCUCUUUGCUCAUUGUCGUGUAACGAGGAUAGAGGAAAGAUAUUUAAGAAUGACCAAAUUUUCUCAGCUUCCAAAUCUCAACAUCUUUGGUGCUCGUCUUCUUCAAGUAGCCCCUUUCUGACCCACGACAACUUCAGAGGUAUAGAAUUUGUCGCUUCAAUCUACUCCACUGCAACUUUGAGGAGAUAAGAUUAGUAUCUUUAAUUUGCUCCACUACAUCUUUAGGGAUAUAAGAUUAGUAACUUUAUCCUGCUCCACUGCAUCUUCAGGAAGAUAAGGUUUAUAGCUUUAAUCUGCUCUACUGCAACUUCAGAGAGAUAAGAUUUGCUAUCUUCAGUCUACUCCACUGCAACUUCAAGUAGAUAUGACUUGUAUCUUCAAUCUGCUUCACUGCAAUUUCAGGGAGAUCCGAUUGUAAUUUGUAGCCUUAAUCUGUUCCACUGUAACUUCAGGGAAAUAAGAUUCACUAUCUUUAGUCUGCUCCACUGCAACAUCAGGGAGAUAAGACUCGUUACUUCAACUUGCCCCACUGCAACUUCAGGGAGAUAAGGUUUAUAACUUUAAUCUACUAAUGCAAUCUCCUUGGCAACUGAUGCAAUCUCCUUCCAUGGUAGACCAAUAAUACUUGAAUCUCAUGAUUUGCCUGGCCAUUGUAAAACCAUUGGCGUGUGUUCCGCAAACACCCUCGUGGACUUCUUCCAAGAUUUUUUAACCUCGACAGCGUCUACACAUCUUAGUAGUACCUGAUCCUUUCUCCUUUUAUAUAGGAUCUCCCCAUUUAAGACAUAGUCACUGGCCAGUCUUCUUAGCAUCCUUUUUUCAUUCUCAGUUGCUUGGUCAGGGUAUUCACGAUUCUUCACAUACUGCAGUAUAUCAUGGUACCAAUGGUGAUUGUCUUCUUCUUCUUCUUCUUCUUCUUCUUCUUCUUCUUCUUCUUUUUUAAUGUUGCAACAAUGAGCCAGAGUCUCAUAAAUACUCAUCUGGAUAGGUUUUACAUCCCCUUGUUUGUUCACUUUGACCAUUGAAGCCAAGGUAGCCAAAGCGUCAGCCAUCUGAUUUUCGUCUCGUGGAAGAUAGCAGAAGGUGAUGUCAUCAAACUCCUCAAUUAACUCUAGGACCAGCUUUUAAUAAUUGAUCAACUUGGGGUCUCUCAUCUCUCAUUCACCUUUGAGUUGAUAGAUCACUAGUGCAGAAUCUCUAUAUACCUCUAGUACUUUGAUCUUACGUUCUAUGGCCGCAUGGAUACCCAUGAUGCAUGCUUCAUAUUUUGCCAUGUUAUUUGUGCAAUCAAAAUCCAAUUUGUUAGUAAAUGGAUAAUGAUCUCCGUUUGGGGAUACUAAGACUGUCCAGAUCCUGUUACCCACAGCGUUUUAGGCUCCGUCGAAGUUUAGCUUCCAAAGAUGACCCUCUUAAGAGUCUUCCUCAGUGGUUGCCACAUGCAUUAGAUCCUAUUCGGGAAAUCAAAGCUCAAAGGCUCAUAACCUUCUAGAGCUCUACUGGCCAGAAAAUCUGCUAUUGCGCUCCCUUUUAUAGCCUUCUGAUUCACAUAAACUAUAUCGAACUCGGACAACAGAAUUUGUCAUCGGGUCAUUCUUCUAUUUAAUACCAUCGACUCCAUCAUGUAUUUUAGAGGAUCGAGUUUUGAGAUGAGCCAAGUUGUGUGGUACAACAAUACUGUCUUAACCUUCAGGUUGUCCAGAUCAAGGCGUAAAAUAGCUUAUCGAUUGGCGAAAUCUUGUCUCACAUUCAGUGAAUUUCUUACUGAGAUAGUAUAUUGCUCUUUCUUUUCUCCCUGAUUCAUCAUGUUGGCCAAGCAUGCAUCCCAUGAAAUUCUUGAAUACUGCCAAGUAUAGUAUCAGCGGCCUAUCUGGGCUGGGAGGCAUUAGUACUGGGGAAUUAGACAAGUAAUAUUUGACCUUGUCAAAAGCCUUCUGGUACUCCUCAUCCCAAACACCUGGAUUGUGUUUCUUAAGGAGACGGAAUAUAGGGUUGCAUUUCUCAGUUAGUUGUGAAAUGAAUUAAGCAAUGUAAUUUAGUCUUCCUAAGAAACCUCAAACUUCUUUUUGAGUGCGCGACAGAGGUAAUUCUUAUAUAGCCUUGACUUUGUCCGAGUCAAUCUCAAUUCUCUUUUCACUGACUACAAAUCAUAGCAAUUUUCCUAACCUAGCCCUGAAAGUACAUUUUGCUGGAUUGAGCUUUAGCUAGAACUUUCUUAACCUUAAGAACUGUUUUCUCAGGACUUGUACAGGCUCCUUUUCUGUUUUGAAUUUUGCAAUAAUAUCGUUGACAUAAACUUCGAUUUAUUUGUGCAUCAUAUCAUGGAACAGGGUUACCAUGGCUCUCUGAUAUGUUGCUCCCACAUUUUCCAGUCAAAAUGGCAUCACCUUAUAACAAAAUGUUCCCCACAUAGUUACGAAUAUGGUCUUUUCCAUGUCUUCAGGAUGCAUCUUUAUCUGGUUGUAUCUCGAGAAGUCAUCCAUGGAGUAGGACAGUGAGGAACCUGCCAUGUUUUCCACUAGAGUGUUGAUAUGCGGCAAUGGGAAAUUAUCUUUUGGGCUGGUUUUGUUCAAGUUACUGUAGUCUACACAUAUUCGUACUUUCCCAUCUUUUUUGGGAACGGUGACUAUAUUGGCUACCCAUUCUGAGUAUUUAACCACGCGUAAGAAGCUAGUAUCGAAUUGCUUCUUGAAUUCCUAUUUUAUUUUUAGUAAAACAUCGAGACUCAUCCUUCAGAGCUUCUAUUGAACUGGCUUGCACUCUUCCUUUCUAAGGAGUUGGUGUACCACGAUAUCAGUACUUAACCCGGGCAUGUCUUGAUAUGACCAUGCGAAGACAUCCUUGAAUUCUUAGAGCAACUCAAUGAGGUCUCGCUUCGUCUCUGUGGUAACGCAAGCUCCAAUCUUCACCUCUUUUUCCUCUCCCAAGCUCACAAUUUCCACUGACUCAUUGUAAGGUAGGAUUUGUUUUUCAUCUUGUUCUACCAUCCUCAACAAAUCAAGAGAUAGGUUACAGUCUCGAUCAUCUUCAAAAUCUUGAGAAUCCUUCGUGCACAUAUCUUACUCAAAAGGAGAUUCUGAGUCAGUAACAGCGUCUCUCAUAUCAUUGAUAUCUGGAUACCUAUUAUAAGGAUGAAGAAAAAUCAAAAGAACAAAAGAAUCUAAGAAUAAUUUUUUGUCUGGAAUGAUUAUGAAUAAAAUGAAAAGAAUAAAAGAAUAUUUGCUCAAGAUGAUAUGCAAAGAUACAUUUUAUUGAAAUAAGGAGGUUAGACAUAAACAUAUUUCACAAAAGGAUUCUUAUUGCUCCUAGGCUUAGAGCAAUAAGCGUGUUUUGAACAUUACUCUGAAUUAGCUCUAAAAACUACAGGAAUCUCUUCCGCAGUCCAAUUAUUCAGAACACUUCCAGGUACAUAAUGGUAAAUGCUUGAUAAAUACUCUUCUCUGAUUCCUUCUUUGAAUAUGUUGUUGAUGUUAUAGUUCCUCCUAAUAUAAAUGUCUUAGAUAUAUAGGGAAAUGUCAUUGGUUUCAAUUGAUCUCUUCAUCGCUUAAAUGUGCUCUCCUUCUCUCUUGUUUCUUUUCCAGCCCAUUCUUUCUUUAUUUCACUUCUGGCUUAAAUCCUAAGCCAAAGCGGUCCCAUUUAUCUUUCAGCAUCGGUGCCUCAACCCUUUCUUAAAAGUAUCUUCCGAGUCUUCAUUCUGGCAAGGCUCCCUUUCUGACUGUCAGUUACAAGCCCAUCCUUGUAGUUUUGGAUAUUUUGGGCAUUGAGAUUUUGUUUCUCUCGACGAUGAAGGUUGCAUUCACAAAUUUCAGUGAUCGAAAGGAAUAUUCUAUUGCUUCAUCAUCAGCCUCUAUGUAUGGCGCGUCACUAGUAACGGAUGCAAGAAUGUCUUCUUCCGCAUUUAUCAUUACCAGUCAACCUUCAGUUACUAACUUUAACUUUUGGUGUAGUGAUGAUGAAACUGGCCCCGCUAAGUGAAUCCAAGGCUUCCCCAAAAAGCAAUUAUAAGAAGGCUUAAUAUCCAUCACCAAAAAGUCUACUUCAUGUUUAGACCAAUCAAAAGAGGUAUUUCGAUCAUUCCCACUACCUUCCUUUCAGUACCGCCGAAUGCUAUCACUAUGUUUUGGCAUGUUUUCAUAUGAGAGCUAUCCACAGGCAACCUAUUCAGCAUGGAUAGGGGAAAGACAUUCAAGUCCGAUCCAUUAUCAAUUAACACCCUUGGCAAUGUGUAUCCUUUAUAGUGGGUGGUGAUGUGCAGACCUUUGUAGAUUUCAUGCCCCCUGGUGGUAUUUCAUCAUCAUUAAAGAAAUAAAGUUGUUAGCACUUAUAUUAUUAACUAGGCGGUCUAACUUGUUUACAAAGAGAUCGUUAGCGACAUAAGUUUCGUUUAGCACUUUCAUCAACGCACUACGAUGUGUCUCCGAACUUAAGAGUAAAGCUAGCACUGAGAUGCGAGCCGAUUACUUAUAUAGCUGCUCUACAAUGCUGUACUUAUUGUGCUUUAGGAAUUUCAAGAAUUUCCUAGCCUCGUUCUUAGUUACUGGCUCGUUAACAGGCGAUUCAAGUCUGGCUGCCUUUUUUUUCUUUUGUUCAACUGCCAAGGCUAUUCCUUUUGUGGGCUCAGCUUUUAUAUUUGAUGGGCCGUAGCAUCUCUCACUGUGCGUGCAGAAACCCACAUCCUGGUCCUCUCUUAAAGCUCCAAUCGGGUUCUUUUCUCCCAGAAUCGUCACGUUGUAGUCAUAAUUCCAGGGAACCCUAUUGUUGUCUUUAUAGGGAAAGGCCACAGGUUUCUGAAUUAUGACCCAUAGUCUCAUUUGUACUCUGACUUCAUUGCUUCUUGGUCGUGAAAUAAUGACCACCUGGUAGUUGACUUUCUGGACCUUCUCUGUCGAUCCUUCUUCCGAUGCGCACACAUUUCCUUCUUUUAGGCCUUUAACAUAUUUAUAAAAUUCAAUUUCUUUAUUAUCAAUCUAGUUUUGCAUUAGGGCCCUGAACUCGAUGCAUUCUUAGAUCUCAUAACCCCCUUCAUUAUGGAACUUACAGUAGUUCUUCAUCUUUUUGAGAUUUUCUUUUGAAUUUUGCUCUAUUAAUCCUCUUUCUACCAUCUUUUUCCAAACCCGUCUUAGUGGGGUAUUUACUUUCGCCACAUAAAAUUUGGUUCUCUUUCCCCUACCUUCAAUUAUCGUAUUUACCCCUUUGUCAAAAUGACUGGGUAACAGAUUUCCUGCCACAUUAGGUCCUGAUGGGUCAUCGAACUUCACAAUUCCCAUCUUAAUGAACCUUUCGAUCAAUUUUUUAAAUGCGGUGAUGUUCUCAAUUAAAUGUCAUGAGAUUCUCGCGUCGUAUAUUGAGCAUUUGAUUCAUACCAUUUGGGGAAUGGAGGUUGCACAGGCCUCAGGUAGAAGGGGGAUACAACAUGUGCAUCAAAUAGACUCUGAUACAGCUCCCUAUAUGUCAAUGGUAUGGCUGUAAACUCGGGUUUUUCUGUAUUUGGCCUUGGGUUGGGUUCUUGCCUUGAAGGGCUCUGAUAGCUAGUGGUUAUUGUCCUUGGCGGGCCAACAGUAAUUGGUUUUGAAUAACCCUUGUUGUAUGUGCUUACAUUAUUCACCUCAUUUUCCUUCUUCUUCGGGGCCGAUCUUUUAGAGUUUUCCCCCGCAUCUAUCUUACCACUUCUCACUGUGUUUUUAAUCAUUUCACCAGAAAUUACUAUAUCUGAGAAGCUCUUAGUAGCACUUCCCAAUAUAUGGUUGAUGAAUGGGGCUUUUAAAGUGUUGAUGAAAAGCAUUGUGGUUUCUUUCUCCAGAAGAGGUGGUUGGACUUGCGUUGCCACAUCUCUCUACCUUUAGGAAUAUUACCUGAAGUUCUCAUUUUGUUUCUUCUCUAAAUUCUGCAACGUGAUUCUAUCAGGUGUCAUGUCCGUUACAUGACUAUACUGUUUCAUAAAAGCCUGUGCCAAAUUCUUCUAUAUGGAUUGAUUUUGGCAUGGCUUAGUUGGUUGUACCAUUUGGCUGUAGACUCGAUCAGACUGUCUUGGAAGCAGUGAAUUAAUAACUAAUCAUUAUUAACGUAUCUUGUCAUCAUUCGACAGAACAUCGUAAUGUGAGCUUUAGGGCAGCUAGUCCCAAUAUAUUUUUCAAACUCUGGGGUUUUGAACUUUGGUGGGAGCACUAGAUCUGGGACCAAACUUAAGUCCUUAGCAUCAAUUCCACUAUGGUUAUCGACAUUCUCCAUUACUCUAAAUUUUUAUUCUAGCCAUCUGCACCGGUCCUCGAGUUGUUUUGGCAGAUAUACCUUCGCCUUCUCUAUUUCUACUAUAUCAUCUAGAUAAGGGACAACGGGAUUAGUUGGAUUAUCCCUUGGAUUAGAGCUUGAGUUCAUUGGGUAGUUUGUUAGUAUCGAGGUACCAGUCUGAUAUUGUUGGGGUUUGAUAGUAACGGGUACCUCUCGUGGGUACGUCUCUGGUUGGGUCUGAACAUUUAUCAGGGUAAAACUUAGGGGAUAGGUAGGGUCUUCAUUAUCAUGACCCGAGUUAACCACGGUACCCUUCCCUUUUUCACGUUCUCCAGCCAACAACUGUGCCAAUUGGCUUAUCAUACUCCUUUUGGAUUCCAGUAUCUGAUCCCUCAUCUCUUGUUGUACUUUCGCUAACUGUUCUUGUAAUUGCACUUGCAACUGGUCUUGCAUCUCUUUCUGAAUCAGUUCUAGCCUUUCUAAUCUUUGGUCCAUUACUUUGGUUUUGGCACGAGUACUGUAAAGAUGUUCGGUUGGUUGACUCUUGUUGGUUUCCAGAUUAACUGAAAUAAUUUUGUUUAAUUAAGGCCUUUUUGUGAAAUUUAAUGCAUAUGAUGCAAUGUAAUGCAAAUGUAAGAAAUAAAUGCAAAAAGAGGUAUUGACUCUGAUUCAAUUAUGUUAGAACAACUUUACUAGAAAACAAAUUUAUUUACAUAAAACAGACUACAUAUACGGCUUUGCCCUAAUGCUGAAAGGCUUAACCUUUCUAAGAAGCCAAGCUAACUCUUAACCCUGAUCUGGUUCUGAUUCAUACUUCAAGUUUAGCACAUCAGUCUGAACUGCUAAUGUUUGUAAAUUAUCAGCCACCUCUUGUAUUUGAGCCACAACUUGACCCAUGAUACGAUCCCUAUCCUUGACUUGACCUUAAGAAUGGUGGAGUUGCUUUUUCCAAUGUUCAUUGUUUUCUUCAAUGAGUUCAACUCGGAGUUCACAAUUUUGUAAUGCGGUCUUGAGCUCUUCUAUUUUCCUUUUCAGCUCUUCAAUCUUCUUCAAGCUCGCUUUCAGCUCAAGUGUAGAGUUAUGAUUACGAUACUGAUGAAGCGACUUUUCUAACUUUGGUACCCUGGCUUUUAAUCUGACAUUUUCAUUUUGGCAUUCCAAUAAGUCUCUUUCUAAAGUAUUUUCUCGAACCUGAGUAUCUUGGCAUUUCUUUUCCCAUUGAUCGGCUCUAUUCUUUUCUUCUUUGAUCGUUUACCGCCAUUGUUUUGAUGUCUUUCCAAGCCCAGCAGUCCUUAUUGAUAAGCGCAGCUUCUUGUAAUCCAUUUUUAAAUUGUCUAGAUCCUCAUCAGCCUUGUUCUUUCAUUUUCUCAUAUUAUCGGCCUCUAGUUUCUGCUCUAUCUUCUUUCCUAACUCCAAAUUCCUAUUUUUAAAAUCUUGUUUGAUGAUCUCUAGCUCUGAUGGAAUCACUUGUAGGUGUUCUUCCAAGGAUCGAGUGGUUUCUUGAUUCGACAUAGGGAUGUUCUCAUUGACUCUUUGACCCCACCACCAACUAUAUUAGGGGAUCGUCAUCGGACCUACAACUAAUCUUUUCAUUUGGCGGGUUUGAUUCCAGGUAUUAGACAUUUCUCGAACCUUUUUCUUUUAGUUAUCACCCUUAUACGAAAACUCACACUGGGCCAGCCCUUGCGUUGCUGGUAUAAACUGCCUCGAUCUAUACUACCUCAACAUGAGUAGAGGAGUAUAACCAACAGCUCCUUAAAUCCCAAGUAGAGGAACCCAGUCAAAAUCUCCACACCGGUACAGAAUCUCAUCAGGGACCAUCUGAGGGGUUCUCCAUUCGACGUCCUCAUCUUGGAGAUUCUGAAGUAUCGCCAUCCAUUUUUCUUUCGAAAUGUCGUCUCGCCUUGGUGUAGCCACUAAUUCUUUUAAUGAAGAGAAGUUCUCGGAGAAAACUCAAUAAGAAACUUUUUCUACCCCCAAAAGUGGCUAUAAAACCAUGCCAAUAAGAGUUGCGCACAUCCGAUGAAUCUUCCUUCAACCGCUCUCCGGCAUGCAUUCAAAGAUCUGAAUAUUUUGGUCAAAAUUGCAGGGACCGGCGUAACCCUUUUAUCAAGUCUGUCGAACAAAUCAUAAACUACCUCAUCCACGUGCCCUAGUGCUUUAGGGAAAAUAACCAGCCUUUAAAUGCUUAAAGCGAAGACAUUGACCCCUUUUUUUCAUAUCCGGGUGUGCUAAAAUCAAAUCUCGCAAACUAUUCCAAUGGAUACAUUUACCAUCUCCCUUUGCUUGAUCCGGGCUACAACCCAUUGCUCACUCAUCCUUGUUAUGUUCAUUAGUUUCUUUAGGAAGGUCGGGAUGUUGGCGGCUCUGGAAUAAACCUUGUCAGGUGCCCUAGUGCUUUAGAGAAAACAACCAGCCUAUAAAUGCUCAAAGCGAAGACAUCGACCCUUUUUUUCAUAUCUGGGUGUGCUAAGAUCAAAUCUCGCAAACUAUUCUAAGGAAUACAUUUACCAUCUCCCUUUUGCUUGAUCCGGGCUGCAACUCAUUGCUCACUCAUCCCUGUAAUGUUCAUUAGUUUCUUUAGAAAGGUCGAGACGUUGGCGGCUCUGGAAUAAACCUUGUCAGGUUAAAUUUUCAGGGAACGAAGUAAGGUCGUGUAUUAUUCCACAGUAGGUACCAAAUCCACUUUUCUAAAAGUAAAGUAGCUGUAUGCGAGAUUCCAAAAUUGAACCAGGGCUCAAAACAAGUGCUUGUCCAGUUUAAUGUCGAGUAGAUAGGGCAAAUUACCAUAAUUACAAUAAAAUAGUUGCUUGAUUUCAUCAUCCCAUUAGACUCAUAUCUCUUUCAAUUCUUGGAGAUUGUUCUAGGUCACACUGAUACGACUAAAGUCCCAUAAUUUUGAUAUGUAACCCUCCGUCAGACUUUCACCUUUCUCUAAUCGUGUUUUCUCAGACCAUAUUCGGACAGCCGUAUUAUCUUUCACUUUAUCAAGAAAUCUCUUCUCCAUGGCAAGCUCUCAAUUUAGUAACUGAAUGUGAAUAAACACAUUUUUUAUGAUGAAAAUGUCAUGCAAUCACAGUCAAAGCAAAAUAAAAUAAGUCAAUGCAUUAUACAAAGCUAAAGUAAGCAAUGAAUAAUAAACAAUGCACCUAUUUGGGUGACCACUAGAGGUUCGGUGUGGUUCUACCUAGGGUAGGCUCUUAGGGCUCACUAUAUGUGGUUCAGUUCUAAAGUAAGGGUACUUGAACCGACAGAUUCCUCGAUCCUCACCCAUUAUAGGCUCAUAUAGACCGAGUUCAGUUCAGGGGGAUACAUUUCCCUAUGGCUAUACGGAGAUGAAAAUCUCACGAAAACAUAGGUACUGAUGUAUCCCGAAAGUGAUCCGCUAUCCUAUACGGAGGUGAAAACCUCACGAAGGAAUAGUUUCUUACUCCCACUUAAAAGGGUAAAAUCGACCGAUUAUACGAUACAAUAUGCGAAGAUUAAAAGACUCGAACCAAUAAAACAAACAUAUCAAAAUGAUGCAGACCAUAAAAAUGAAAUGCAAUGAAAGGAUCCUAAGUUUAACCCAAAUUAUCAAUUUUCGACAAAAAGACAAGAACUAAUCAACUCGUGGCUUGACUCUCUUAUUUUGUUCCCUAGUGGAGUCGCCAAGCUGUCGAAACCAUUUUUUUUGAAAUCGACUUUAUUUUGAAAACGAUAAUGAGAGUCGCCACCAAUCUUUUUUAAGAGGUGUGAUCGGGUCACCUUGUAAUUUGAUCAUUUUAAUAAGAGAUUUGAUUUACUAAAACAUAGAUUUUUGGUUUACAAAAUUUAGGAAAUGGGUUUGAGAGUUGGUUACGCACGAGGAAUGAUUAGCACCCUCGUGAUGCCCAAAAUCGGUACCUAGUUAAUUAAUUAAAGUCUUGGUGUCGAAAAUUGAAAAUCUGAAAAGAAUUUAAAAAUACAAUCCCUCUUUGUAUUAAUAUUUUUGCUUAAAAAUGCUUGAAUAAAUUGAAACGCAUGUUGAAGACUCUCUCAUCCCGUAGUGACAAAAUGUCACAUCCUGUAAGUUAGGACACGACACCUCGAAUCUUUGAGAAUAAGCUUGCGUUUUAUUUUUUAUUUUUUAUUUAAAUCUUAUUAUUUUGAUUUUAAAAGGAUAUUCGGUUAUUUGAGUUCAACAAGAGAAUUGCAACCCCGUGAGUUAGGGUACAAUUUCUCAAAGCUCUAAACACUUAAUAUUGCCUUUAUUUCCAAAAGUUUUUGAAUAAAUACACAUUUAAUGUUUAAAACUAUACAUAUUUAUUUUAUUUGGAUUAUAGUGUAAAGAAUGAAUAUUUAAGCACGGCUCGUGACAUGAUUGGAACAAUAAUAGAAUGAUAACGCGAAUAAGCGAAAUGACGAUAUAUCUAUAAUAAUGAGAUGACAAAUAAGCAAUGACAAUAAUCGAUUAAAUCUAAUUUUAAUUAAACAAUAUUAAAAAAUAAUAAUAAUAAUAAAAGAAAGUGAAAUAUGCACGAUAAAAAUAAUAUAUAUGAAAGUAUAAAAAAAGGGAAUAAGUAACAAAGAAGAAUUAAAUUAAUAUAAUGAUGAUAAUAGUAGAAUUUUGCGUAAAUAAGAGAUUAUAAACAAUUAUAUAAUAAUAAUAAUAAUAAACAAGUAAGUGAAGAAAUAAUAGAUAAAAUGGAAUAAUAAAAAUAUUAUAUAAAAAUAUAUAUAUAAAAAGAAUACACCAUAAAGAAAAAAAAACGAGCCACUUUGAAAUACUAAAAAAAAUAAGAAAAGAAAUGAUAGGAACGUAAGUAAAUAAAAAAACUGAAUCAUUAACAAAAUUUUGAUUAAAGAUUGAAAUUAUACAAAUAAAUAAAUAAAUUAGACAGUUUGAAAUAGUACAAAAUUUGAAGAUAAAUAGAUUAAGGGUGGAAUUGAAAUUAAAAGGAGGUUUUGGGCCUAAAUCAUAAUAAAAUAAAUGCCUAAAGGACUAAAUUGAAGUUUAAACGGAAUUUUGGGCAAAAAUCGGGAAUGAAAAUAAAGUAAAGGACCAAGUUGUAACGCGCGAAUAACAGGGGGGACCAAAUGGGGAAAUAACCCAAUCCUCUGGACACGUUUCCCUUCUCCAGUAGAUCAGCGAGCCAAGGACUAAAUUGAAACACGCAACAAAUUCGAUAGCCAAAUCUAUAAAAAGAAAAAAGUAAAAAAAAGGACUAAAUUGAAUCGCGACUCAAAAUCGGAAGGACUAUUCGCGCAAAUAGCCCAAACGUUGGAAACACGCGGAUCCUAGCUUUCGGGUCAGGUCAGACGUGGGUCAAAGCUAAAACGAAACAUUUUGGGGUUUAAGGAAACAGACCAAAACGGAAUACCAUUUGUAUAUUGUCCUCAAUGGUUUUUGCAUGUAAAGCAAAAUGGAAGCAAAUAUUGGCUCAAUAGUUAUUUAACGUUUAACUAAUACUAAGCGGUAUUGUGUGGUUAGAUCGUAAUACGAAAAGAUAACUUGUAUUAGUAGAUGAAUAUAAACAAAGCUUGUCACUUAUUUUUAAAAAAAAUAAUUAUGAUCUCAAUUCUAUAAACUAAAUUAUUCUUAUACUGAAAGUUUGUCUAAAUCAAUUUCUUGAAUCAAUUUAAAAAUUAAAAUAUUAAAUAAGUAAAGGCUAAAUGGAAUUCAAAAUGAAUGUUAUUCAAAUGGCAAAUAAUCUCAACAUUGUAUUUUAAAUCUAAAAAUUUCUAUUUUUAACCAACUCAUAAUUCUUUAAAUUUAGAAUUAAUCAAAUAAAAAAAAUAGUCAACAACUUGCAUUUAAAUUAAUCAAACUCGAAGGCAUCUAAAUUUAAAAUAAUUAAACUCAAAAUGAACUCAAAUCUCAAAUGAAAAAGGUUCAUUGAAGAAAAUUAUGACAACUACGAAUUCAUCUACACGGAAAUCUAUCGCAAUGGCAGCUCCAAUACAGAAUCAAAAGUGAUUGAAAAACAAACAUAAGCAACUUGUAAGAUUAAAGCCCAACGCAUUUUGUACAUUUAUAAUUUAGUACUUGAAUCUUGACAAGCUUUGGAAGAACAUAUUGUGUAUAAAAAAUAAGUAUAUUUUCAUAAUUUCUGGAAUUUUUUUAUAAUAUUUGUAUAUUAUUUUUUCCUUUUUUUAUAUUUCUGCUAUUUUUUAAUUUUACUAUGAAAAAUAAAAUUUUAAAAAAACUGAAAAACAUUGGUGGCGAUUAAAAAGUACUGUAUAUAUAUUUAUAUAUACAUAUAAUUUCAUGUUUCUUUUUUCUAUAUUUUUAAUGAUUUAUCUUUUUCUUUUUAAAUUUUAUGUUUUUUAAAAAGAAAAGUAUGUUUUUUAAAUUCAAGAACAUUUUUAUAAUUUUUCCUGAUUUUUUAUUUUUUCUUGAGAUUUUUCCUCAUCUUUUACUAUUUUUUCGCUUUUUUUUUUGUUUUCUGCAUUCAUUUAAGAAAAAAAAACAAAAAAUUGGGUGACGUGGAGCACUCCCAAUGGGCCACAUCAUCUUCUUUUGUAACAACAGUAACAGUUGGGGUAUUGUGUUUGACGUUUGAAAACUUCAUGUACCAAUCUAAUAAAAAAUUUCUUUAGAUAUUAAAUUGAUAAUUGGGUGCAACUUUGGGAAAGGGGGCAAAUAGUACGCUAACCCUUUUCUAAAACUAAGUUGUUUUAUUUAUAGCAGUAAAUUAUUUACCAAAUCAGUAUUUGUGUUUAGGGCUAGGCGAACUUAGCCAUUUCUUGACUUUUUACCAACACAAUCUUCUCCAUUAUUUCCAAAUCCGUGACUUAGUUAGAGUAUAGGCUCUAAAUUCACCAACCAAUCCACAAAAAGUAAUUUUUAGGUUCCGAAUCAUCAUCUAUUAAUUACAACAUUAUUUAGUUAUGGAGUCAAUCCGUAAAAAGUAACAUGAUUGUAAUCUCCCUAGUAUAUACCAUUAGAAAAGCGACUUAUCAAGUGCUCAUCAAUGAGCUUUUUGUUGGAUUUGGUGCUCUAAGUGUAGUAUUUCCUAUGAACUCUUGUAUUUUUUUGAAAAAAUUAGUUUUAAUAAUAUCCAUUAAUUACAGUAAUAUCAUUUGUAUAUUUUCCUCAAUAGUUUUUGAAUGUAAAGCAAAAUGGAAGCAAAUAUUGGCUCAAUAGUUAUUUAACGUUUAACUAAUACUAAGCGGUAUUGUGUGGUUAGAUCGUAAUACGAAAAGAUAACUUGUAUUAGUAGAUGAAUAUAAACAUAUCCUUAGUCUAAUUAGAAAUGAGCAUACUGAUUGAAAGACUAAUAUGUUGUCUAUCACGUCCAAUCGGGGAGAUGCUUUGUCUUGAGUAUCGGAGUGGAUAACUCCUAUAUGAUAGAGACAUAGAUGUGACUAACUGGACUAACAGCACAUCGGAUAAGAUCCAAGUAGAAUAGAUCCUAGAUCUGUUUAUGUAUAAGUGACUCGUAUACUUUGAUGUAAUUAAAAGUCUAAGUUCAAAUACUUAAGGAACGGAAAGCUAAUGCGUUGGGUAUAUGACUUCUACAGUUUGUAGCAUAAUUUAAAAUAGGUAAAUGAUAUCCUCUCACAGACAUUACAUGAUAGAUGAAAAGUAAAAGUUAUCACAGGUCGUUUAUCUUUGUGAUAAAGGACUUUAUUACUAUUUGAUAGUAAUUGACUUUUCAUGAAGGAACAUGUAAUGGUUACAAUGAGAUAAAAUAAGAUCAUAUUAAAUUAAUAAACACGUUUAAUAAUAGUUAAAAAAUAGGUUUUUUUACAAAAGAAUAAUUAAUUACAAAAAUAGAUUGAAGGAAAAAUUAUUUAUGAAAUUGAGAUAUUGUUUUUAUCAACUUUUUGUUUUGGUAGCAAUUUUUUUUAAUUCAAAAGGGUUUUACCUAACACAUUGAUGACAAUUAUUUAAAUUUUUACAUUUUUUUUCCAUCGUAUAUACCCCUAAAAAUAUAAAUAUUUUAAAAAGUAACAUUAAUAAAAAUUUAUUCUUUUGAUAUUGGUAGAAAAGUUGGACGGCGCCGCCAAAAUUUACUUUGAAAUAAAAGUUCCCAUCUUAUCCCGCCAACUUUAUCUUCUGUGGAAUGUUUUGUGGCACAAUGUUUAAAAAAAAAAUUAUUUUAACAUUUUAUUUUAUUUAAUUUUAAAAUUUAAUUUUUUUUAAGUCACUUAAAAUGAAUAAAAAAUUAAUAGUUAAUUUUAUUGAUGUAACAUAUACGUAAAUUAUCACGUUAAUAAUUAAUUAAUUUUUUAAAAUUAAAAAAUUUAUAAAAAAUAUUUGUAAAAAAUUUAAAAAGUAUUAAAAAUAUAAUAUACUUUUAAUAUUUUUUAAUUUUUAAAAAUUAAUGAAAAGCUAAUGUGACAUACACAUGUCAAUUUACGUGUAUUCUAAAUCAGUAUAAUUAAUAAAUAUUAAUUUUUUCAUUUAUUUUAGGCUGAUUUGGUAAACAACGCAAAUUUAGAAGCUAAAAUAGAUAGAAAAAUUAAAUAGAAAAUUAAACCAGCUAUUAAGCCAAAUUUUACAAAUUUUUUUAUAAUUUUAUAAUAAUUUAUUAAUUAAAAUCGUAUUUAUAAUUGAAAUGAGGAACCAAAAUUCCACCACAAUCCUUAUAAUAAACUUACUUCUCUUGACCCUAAACGAAUACUCGAAUAAUCUUGAUCACAUUUAAAGGAUUAUAAAAUUAUUUUGUUGAUGGAUAUGGCCUUUCAUAAUCAACGAGACAGAAUGGAAAUUCUUGAGGUGACCCAAGUUGCCCCAACCUCUAACUCACCAGAAUCAACGACUGAAUUCCGUCUUCCACUCACUUUCUCCGACAUAUUGUGGUUCACGUCUCCUCCUGUUGAGCGCCUCUUCUUUUACCAACUCGACGAGUUAACCCCUGCCUGUUUCAACUCAGUUAUCCUCCCAAAACUCAAGCGCUCUCUUUCUCUCACACUCGUCCAUUACCUCCCCCUCGCUGGCAAUCUCAAGUGGCCACCAAACGAACCUAAACCCAUCAUUUUAUACACUCCAAACGAUGGAGUUUCCCUCACAGUUGCCCACUCCGAUGCCGACUUUAACAUCCUCUCCAGCGAUGGGGUCUAUGAUGCUGCUGAGUUGCAUCCUCUCAAACCUGACCUCGUAACUUCAGAUGUUUCGGCAUCAGCUAUAGCUGUGCAAGUAACCCUGUUCCCAAAUAAGGGGUUCUGCAUAGGAAUCACAGCUCACCAUGCAGUUCUUGAUGGCCAAACCACAACCAUGUUCAUCAAAUCUUGGGCUCAUAUAUGCAAGCAAGGCAACGACGAGAACUCACCCUUGCCACCUGAGCUAACACCAUUUUUCGACAGGUCUGUUAUCAAAGGUCCUGAUGGACUUGACAUGUUAUAUUUGAACCAGUGGCUAGCUAGUAGCGGGUUAGAUUCAGAUACAAGUAAGAAAAGCCUGAAAAUCACAAGUGCAGGAGGAGGAGCAGCAUCAGAUCUAGUUCGAGCAACGUUUGAGAUUACUCGUGAAGAUUUCAAAAAGUUAAGGGAAAGGGUGUUACCUAAACUACCAGAUAGUGGGAAAGAAAUGCAUCUAUCAACUUUUGUGCUUUCGUUUGCUUAUGUAACAACUUGCAUGGUGAAAGCUAGAGGAGGAGAUGGAGAUAGAAAAGUUGCUUUCGCAUUCACAGCUGAUUGCAGGCCACGAUUAAACCCUCCUGUCUCACAAAACUAUUUCGGAAACUGUAAUAGACCUAAAUUUGAAGUGGCGAAAGCAAGGGAUUUCCUUGAUGAAAACGGGUUUGUGUUUGCUGUUCAGAAAGCAAGUGGAAUGGUUAAAGAUUUAAUGGAGAGAUGGGUUCUUGAAGGAAUGGAAAAGAUUCUAUCAUAUAGUUUAGAUGUUCUUAAAGAAUCAUCUGAGUCAAACCUUCAAAUUAUAACUGUUGCAGGAUCGCCUCGAUUUGGUGUUUAUGGAACAGAUUUUGGAUGGGGCAAACCCCAUAAGGUGGUAAUUGUUUCCAUUGAUAAGAGUGGAGCUAUUUCCAUGGCAGAAAGUAGAGAUGGGAGCGGGGGGGUUGAAAUUGGUUUGGCUUUGAAUAAGCACGAGAUGAACAAUAUUUCUUGGUUGUUUCCAAGAUACGUUUAACGGGAGGGUUUAUUUUAAUUUAUUUUGUUGUUUUGUAAUGAUAUUUUAUUAAUAUUAUAUGAAAAUCAUGCUUCAUAUUAUGCUAUUUUUCAUUUAAGCAGAGGUUGAUUGCUCCACUUUAUGCUAUUUAAGCAGAAAGAAAACAUGUGGAGGUAGGGGUGUUUAAAAUUCGGGUAAAACUGAAAAAAUUCGGUUAAUCGACUGAAUUUGGUUAAUCGAUCGGUUAAUCGAAUUUUUUCGGUUGGGGUCAGUUAAUUAUUUUUUAAUUUUUCGAUUAACGGUUAAUUUGGUUCGAAACCUGUCAGUUAACCAAAUUUUUUCGGUUUAAUCGAAAAAAUUAAUAAAUAAAAUUAUAAUAUAUAAGUAGAUCCACUAUUCACCUAAACCCAAUCCAAACCCAAGUAUUCAACCCAACCCAAUUAUCCAACCCAACCCAAUUAUAAAAAUUACAAAUAAUUUAAUAAAUAAAAAUAAAAUUCUAAAACUAAAACUAAAACUAAAGUCUAAAAGUCUAAAAAUAAUUUAAUUAUGUAGUGAUUCAAUUCGGUUAAUUCGGUUAAUUCGGGUAAUCCGGUUAAUUCGGUUAAUUCGGGUAAUUCGGUUAAUUUUUAACCAAAAAUAAAAAAUAUAUAAUUUUCGGUUAAUUCGGUUAACCGACCGAAUUAACCGAAAAAAUUUAGGUUCGGUUAACAGUUAAAAAUUUUGAAAGGUUGGUUAAUUCGGUUAAUGUUAUUUUGGGUCGGUUAACCGAAUGAACACCCCUAUGUGGAGGUGGUUGAUUGCUUACCCCACUUUUAUCUAUUUGUCCAAAUAAUGCUUUAUUUGAUAUAUAUGUUAAGGAAAUUCCGAAAAACACUGAUGACUGAGAAGGGCCUUUAUUGGUUUCCACAAAAGCAUCGUACCAGCAUUAAUUAAGUGAUGGAGCCAUGUUAGCUGUAGGGGUGAAUUACCCAUAAAUGCCGGUAUGUUUGGAAAAUUACCUAAUUAGAUUAGUUUUCCUAAAAUUUAUCGGAUUAGGCCAAAUUUGGAGAGAGAGAACAAAAACGAGUGUUUUCCAUAAUGCCUACCCCGCACCCCAGCGGUCAAAUUAUAAUGGCUCCCCCCCCAACGACUAUUUCAACGAAAUUUUAACCCUCCGUCUUUAAUUGGACCAUACUUGAGAGAUGCGAGAUUUUUGCAUAUGGUCCCGUAUAGGUAGAGGGUGUCAAUUAGACCCCACACUUAUAAGCGCGUUGGUGAAAAGAUGGAGACCCGAGAUGCACACAUUCCAUCUUACUAUCACACUCGAGGAUGUGCAGUUACAGCUUGGGUUACAGGUGGAUGGCAGUUGUCGCAGCUAAUUAGAGAGAUGUCUGCGAGCAACUUUAUUGGUUUCCACAAAAGCAUCGUACAAGCAUUAAUUAAGUGAUGGAGCCAUGUUAGCUGCAGGGGUGAAUUACCCAUAAAUGCCGGUAUGUUUGGAAAAUUACCUAAUUAGAUUAGUUUUUCUAAAAUUUAUCGGAUUAGGCCAAAUUUGGAGAGAGAGAACAAAAACGAGUGUUUUCCAUAAUGCCUACCCCGCACCCCAGCGGUUAAAUUAUAAUGGCUCCCCCCCAACGACUAUUUCAAUAAAAUUUUAACCCUCUGUCUUUAAUCGGACCAUACUUGAGAGAUGCAAGAUUUUUUCAUAUGGCCCGUAUAGGUAGAGGGUGUAAAUUAGACCCCACACUUAUAAGCGCGUUGGUGAAAAGAUGGAGACCCGAGAUGCACACAUUCCAUCUUACUAUCACACUCGAGGAUGUGCAGUUACAGCUUGGGUUACAGGUGGAUGGCAGUUGUCGCAGCUAAUUAGAGAGAUGUCUGCGAGCAACUUUUGGAGAGGGUUUCGGACUCGAUUUAUGGAGCUUGGAUAGAUGUGAAUUGGAUGAAAAGAAAUUUUGUUGGGCUCAAUGCAAAGUCGAGUAAAGUUGAAAGAGUGUCAUAUUGAAGUUUGGUUUGGUAAAUUUUGAUGUUUGGCUAGUUAAUUAAGGAAACAAGACUAAAUCGUAAAAGAUGUAAAACUUAAUCUCUAUUGAUUGCUAUUAGCUAAAUGCGUGUUUAAUGUUUGUUUAAGGAUCUAAAUGGUAAUUAUACCCUUUUUAAGGUUAUUGGACGGUUAGUGGAGGAAAUUGAAUUAAAUAUAUGUGUUUUAUAAUAUUAAUUUCUUUAGUUUGAAGCUUGAUGAUGAAAUAGGACUAUUUUGUAAAGUGAUUUUGGAUAGUUUUUAAGUUUAGGAGCUAAAACAAUAAAAUAUUAAAUUUAGCAUGAAAUUCUUGUAAACUUUCAUUAAUUAUAGGUUGUAAAAGAGUAAAGAUGAAUUAGGCCUAAGGGUUUUGGGCUUAAUUUUGCAAAAAAAAAUUAAGUUUCAAUUUAGGGACUAAAGUGAAUAAAAGGUAAAAGUUCAGGGAAAAUUGCUAAGUAGUCCUCGGUGUGGUGUUAUAAUGAUGGAGAUAGUAUGAGAAUUGAGUUAAGGCCCGUGUGAGCUUAGUGAAUGAUUAAGAUACAAAUGACAUGUCAUUAGGAUUUAUCAAGCACUAUGUGCCAGUGAUUAUAUUGAUCAGGUACUAUGUAUCAGUGACCAUAUUAUUAGGUAUUGUGUAACAGCCCGGUUUAGACCCUAGUCGGACAGUGGUUUCAAGACCACAAAUUUGAGUUAGAAAUAUAUUUUAAUAUUAUUUUUGGUGUCUACAGCAUGUUAAUUUAUAUGUGUGAAAAUUUUGUGUGAAAAUUUUAUCGUUUGUAUGCUCAAUUUUAUAAAAAAAACUUAAUCGCGUAAAUUGUAAAAGUGGCAUUCUAAUUGUUAAAGUGCUUAAUUGCUUUGAGUAAUUAAUUAUGGAGUCCUUAAAAUGAAAUUUAGCCAUUGAAUACAUGAAUGGACGGUAAUGGCAUGCAUUAUAUGAUUUUAUUAUUAAAUCAUUAAGGUUAUAUUGGUAAAUGGAUAAUCAAAUGUAAUUAAAAUAAAACAAAAUAGGAAAUGGCCAUGCAUGUUCAUCUUUUGGCCAAAUAUUGAAGAGAAAAAGAACCAUUUGAAAGCUUUAAAGAUUCGGCACUUUGAAGCUUAAAUUGAGGUAUGGAUUUUGUUUGGUUUUCGAUAAUUUUUACUUUUUUGAGAUCGUUGCUUUGUAUAUUACCUAGCCCAUGCUUUAAUUUUCAAAAUUGAUGAUGAAUUUGAGAUUUUCCAUUGUUGAUAAUGUGAUGAAUUUGUUGUUUGAUGAUAAAAAAUAAAUCUUUAAUGUUUGAUUAUCAUGUCUAAUUAAGUGAUUCUUUGAUAAAAAUCCAAAUUAGGGAUUUAUUUGUGAAAUUUGAAAAUUUAGGGGUUUAAAUAUGAAAUAAAUGAAAUAUAUGAGCUGAUAGGGACCAUAGGAAGAUUCGGCUAAGGCAUGGUUUUGAUGAAUUUUGUGUAUUUAGUGUAUUUUUGUAUUAAUGACUAAAAUGUUAAAAAUGUGAAAUUUGGGGGCUAAAGUGUAAAUGCCCUAUUUAGGUGUUUAUGGAUUGAAUUAAAUGAGAUGUGUUAUUAAAUAGCCAAAUUUGAAUUUAUUUAGAUCAAGAAAAGAGAAAGUCGGAUUUGGAUCGAGGAAAAUCGAAGGUUGUCGAAUAGUCGUUUCGAUCCGUUCCUGUCCGUACGACGUAAGUUUGUAAGUAAAUAAAUGUAGUUAAAUUUGAAUGUAUAUGUGUUAUAAAUGCCGAAUUGAAUUUUAAUGAAUAUAUAUGUACAUGCCAAAUUAUUUUUAAGUAUGGGAGAAUUGUUUACGAGCUUAAUUCAAUUGAAUUACGGCAUCCGAAAGCGUGUACGAACCAUAGGAUUCCGAUAUGUGAUAUCGUGUAAGACCACGUCUGGGACGUUGACAUCGAUUUGAUAUUUACGUGUAAGACCAUGUCUGGGACAUUGGCAUCAUAUAUAAUUUCGUGUAAGACCCUGUCUGGGACAGUGGCAUCGUUAUUUGAUUACAUGUAAGACCACGUUUAGGACGUUGGCAUUGUACAAGCUUUUUGAGCUAUCCGAGUAUUCUUUUUUAUUCCAAAUGGUUUAACGGGAAAUGAUACAACAAAAUCGAAUGUGAGUUUGAAUUAAACGAUCCAGAUGUGUUUGAGUUAUAUGAAGUGUGGAAGUAUAGGUAAGUAUUGUGGUAUAACAUGAAAAUGUGAGCUAAUUGCUUAAAUAUGAUUAUAUAUAUGUGUGUUCAAGAUUGGGAGUAUUCGACCUACUUGUAUGAAUUAUAAAUGUUCUUUGGUAAACUAUUUGCUUAUGACUUACUAAGCUAUUUAAGCUUACUGUGUGAUUGCUCGUUCGUUGUUUUAUAGAUUUUGGAAGCUAGUUACGAGCUUGGGGAUUGUCAAAGAAAUCCCUCACACUAUCGAACGAUAUUUUUGUAUUUUUAAAACUUGAAUUAUGAACUUAUGGCAUGUAUAGGCUAGCAUUUGUUUUGAUUGGCCUUGAAUUUUGUAUAUGUGUUUGGCCAUGUGAAAAUGGCUUGAUUAUAAUAUUAUGGCUUGUGUGUAUGUGGUAUGACUUAUACUUAUUUUGGAGGUAUGUUUUAUGUUUUACAUGCUUGAAGGGUUUGGUUUUAUGAUUCGACAAUGAGUAAUAAAAAGUAUGAUGAACAAUCGACCAACAAAUUAGCUCAUAUGGAAAUGUGUUUUUUGGUAUAACUUGUGUAGUAGAUGGAUGUGUAUUUGAAUCGUGGUGCAUGUAUCUAUAAGCUAUGUGAUGACUUUGCUAUAAAACGAUAAAUUGGUAUUUGGUGUGGCUUAUUAUUGACUUAUUUUGGAUGUACAAUUUGUUUAAUGAAUUGGCUUGAAGGUGGUAAAUGAUGUGUAUGCAUUUUCGGUCUUAUAUGUAGCAUAUUUAAGAAGUAUGAUAUGUGGUUAUUUUGUGUGUUAUAUGAUGGCAUGAUUCAAAAUGAAUAAAUAGGUAAGAAGACAGAAAGAUGAGUAUAUCAUUGAUGGUGUAAUGGUUAUUCGGCUGCAAUUUGAAAUGGUAAUUAACUACAUGUUUUAAAAUGGUUUGGUUUGAUCAUUUGAGGCUAAAUUUAAUGACCGAAUAUAGGGAUAAUUGAUUUGUUGUGUUUAUGUGUUGGGGCAUGAUAAUUAGCAUGCAAAUUGGUGUACUUAAAAUUGUUGCUUAUGUUUAAAAAUUGUUUAACGUGACUAUGGUAUAAUGCACAUAGGUUGGUAAUGUUUACAAAUGUAUUUGGCUGUAUAGUGAAGCUUGCCUAUGUUUUUUUUUAUUAUUUAUAUGCCUAAUAAGGUGUGUGAAAAGCUUAACCUAAGUAAAUGUGCGCAUAUGCAUAACAUACAAAUUGCUAUUUUUUUAUAAAUUAGUUAAUGAAUUGGGUUAGCCAUGAUUUGGUAUUUGAAUUUAGAAAUGGCUUCGUUUUAGAGUGUUAUGCGCAUGUAUAUAUGUCUUAUAAAAUGAUAUAUUUGAUGAUUAGUUAAAGAUAUGGAUUGUUAUGACUUAGUAUGCAUAUGUGCAUAGUUUAUAAAAUAGCAUGGCUAGAAGUUUGCUAAUGAAAUAAAUAUAUGCAACAGAUGAUUUGACAUAAGCUUAGUAAAUAUGAUGUAAUGAUAUAAGCUUGAAUAUAUUAUAAAUAUUUGAAUGGUAUGAAUAUGAUAGUAAAUAGGUUCGAAUAAUGGGUUUGUAAAGCAUGCAAUAUUUUAUUGAUGUAUGAUAGCUUGGUACAAAUUUUAAAAAGGUUAAGAGUAUUGAUUGAUUGAAUUUUAGAGUGCCAUGAUCUUGGGUCAUAAGGUUCGGCUAUUGGAGUUAUAUAGUAUAUGUAUUAUGAUAUGAUGUAUAUUAAUUGGGUCGAAUAGGUGAUUAAAUAAAUACUAUUGAUAUGUUUAAAUUUUAAAGCAUAAAUUGCUUAUGUAUUAAAAGUAGUAAAGCAUAAUUGGUUUUUAGUUGGUUAAGUGAUCUAUAUGUGCGAAUGUGAAUUAUAUGAUUUAGCUGCUAGUUAUUAUUCGAGUUUAAAAAUUUUCGGAUUGAGUUAAUAUAAUUUGUGCAUAAGUUAAAAUGAAAGACUGUUCUGAGUUGUGUUUUGGUCGGUAAUGCCUCGGGACCCUAAUCCAGCAACGGAUACAGGCUAGGAGUGUUACACUUUGUACCGGUGUUAUAUUUAUGGUUCAUGUGCAUACCAUGUUAAUAGAUAGUAUGGAAUGAUGUACUAACCUAUUUGGUUAUGUUGUGAAAGAUAUAAGGUGAUUAUGGAACGAUAAGUAUGUAUGUUAUUUGCAUUAAGUAAAUUAUGAAAUGCCAGGUACGUUGUGCUUAAAUUUUAUACGAACUUACUAAGCUUUAAGUAAGCUUAACUUGUUUCAUUUUCUUCCUUGUAGAUUGUCAGAUUCGUGUUAUCAAUUGGAUCAUCUUUGGAGAAUCACACUAUCUGUCAACUCUUUUGGUAGAUUUUUAUCCAUUUUGGAAUAGGUUAUAAAUGGCAUGUAAAUAGGUGUUUUGGUUUCAAAUGUACAUAUAUGCAAGUUGUGGGUUGAAAUAGUACAUGAAUGUUAAACUGGAAUUUUGGCUAAGUUGGUAGCUUUAUGGAUAUGAAAGUCUAUUUAUAUGAAAUUCUUUGAUCUUGCUCCAUAGGUUAUAAGGUACUAUGGAAUGGAUAGGUAUGGCAUGUAAAUACAUUAGAUGUUAUAUGUUUGAGCUCUUAUAUAACACUUUAUGUGAAGUAGAUUUUAAAUUGGUUAAGUUAGGUUAUGUGGUCCAUAAGGUAAGGUUAUGGCAAGUGUUUAUAAAUCUAUGUUUUGGUAUUUAAAAUGAUGAUUAUGUGAGAAUGUUUAGGUAUGUGAUUUUUGGUAUGAAUGAUGAUGAAUGUGUGAUUGUAAAUGGUUCAAUUGAGGUGCCAAGUGUGGCAUAUUGGUUAGGCACUUAGGAUGGAUGUUUUAAGGUGUGGUUUUGGAAUAUAUUUUUAUGUUUUUGAUCAGAUUGAUUAAUGGUUAAAUGCUUACUUGUGGCUUAAGUGAACCUAGGAUGUUGUUACUUGGUUUAGAAGGUAUUUUAGGUGCACACAGUCUAAUACACAGUCUGCCACAGGAUAGUGUGCCAUACAUGGGCAUAUGGCAUGGCUAUGUGGUCUAUUUAAUUUAGGUGCUAAUUGGUCCACACAGCUACAGUUUGUUACACGGCCUGGCAACACAGCCAUGUGACCCAGUCUUACAUGGCUUUAGUUUGUUUCACGGCUUAGACAUACAACCAUGUCUUCUAGCAUCAUAGGGCAUCAGCCUGUCACAUGGCCUGGCCACCCUACAGUGUGACCCAUGUUUUUACUUUUUACUUAUUAUUUCAUAAAAGUUUCAAAUUAGUCAUGAUUUGUUUUCGAGUUGGUUUAAAAGCUUCGUAAGCUCAAUUAAGGCUCGGUUGUGGUUGUAAAUCAUAUUACAAUGAUGCGGUUGAAUGCUUGAUGUUUUAAUUUGAUAUUUAAGUUGAAUUCUUGGAUGAUAGAUGUUGUUAACUGUUGUAACAUCUUGUAGCUCGGGUCCAAAAAUCGAACCAGGUUAGGUGUGUUACAUUACAAGUUUAUUAAAGUUCAAUGGUUAAUACUAUGUCGUGCUACUGGACGUGUCCGACAAUUUUCUAAACUUCACCAUUGACUUCAACCAUCGUUCACGACCAUCGUUGCCCUUCCAAUUGAUUCCACUUCUUCUGGGAUCUCGCCAUUUAUCACAUUUCUUCGUAGUUUGGUUUCUUACACGAACACAACUGAAGAGAUAUCCUCGAUUGAGGCUGUUAUAGGUUAAAUUGAAUAAGGCAUAACAUUCCUCCCCUAUUGAUUCCUCAUUUUGGGAAUUGAGGUUGCAUUUGAAAGCUUCUAUUUUGUCAUCGAUUUUUAUAAUAACCUCAUUUUGCUCGAGAUCGAUAGUCGAUUUAAAAGUGGCAAAAAAUGGCCUACCCAAUAGAAUGGGGAUUUCCUAAUUUUCCCUAAAGUUAAGGACUACAAAGUCUAAGUUCAUGUAAUAGCCCGAAUUUGGGCCUAGUCGAAACAGUGGUUUCGGGACCACAAAUGUAAUAUUUUGAAAAUUUCUACAGUAAUAUAUUAUCCUUGGUAUAGUAAAAUAAGGAAAUAAAGUAACAAAAAGGGAAAUUUUGAGUUAUGUCAACAUUGAGAAGUAUAUUAUGACAUAUUAAUGCAAGGAAGGAUUAAAUCGCAAAAGUGACAAAAGUAUUGUUGCAUAAGAGUAAAUACUCAAAAUUUGAGGGGUUAAAGUGUAAAUAUGAAAAAGUUGAAGGACCAAAGGUGUAAAUAUUUUAAGGGUGGAAUGAUCUAGAAACUAAGGAAAAUGGAUGAAUUAGGACCAAAUUGAAUAAGAUAAGAAUUAUGAGGGACUAAAUCGUAAUUUUACCAAAUUAAGUGUGACUCAAUGAUGGAAUUUUAAAAGAUUAUGAAGGGCAAAAUGGUCAAUUAGAAGAGAGAGAAAUCUAGAAGGCGAUGAUGAUGUUGGUGAUAUUUUAGAUUAAUUAAUUAAAUAAAUAUUAGUUUGUUAAUAUUUUAAUAUGAUUUUUAAAUGAUAUUUUAUUAAUUUCUUAUUAUUCUAUUUAGUAUAUAUAAGAAAGGAAAGAUGAGGAAUUAUCAUCUUCUUCCCCAUGCAACCAACGUAUGAAGAGGAAAGAAAGAAAGAAACUUUCUUUUCUUUACAAUUUGGUUCUUUUAUAAAAAAUUCACCAUUUUCACUUAGAAAUCAAAAGAAUUUCCAUAUCCAUCAAGAGAGAAAUAUAACAAGGAGACUAUGGUGAGCUAGAAUAUCAAGUUAGAUUCAAGAAAUAGAAGCUGGAGGAGAGAGAAAAUCAAGUUAAAGAUUGAAAUGGUAAGAACAUCAAGAUUUCAAUAUAUUUUUGAGUUUGAUAUUAUUGAAAAGGUAUGAAAUUGAUGUUAAUGUAGAGUUUAUUAUAUAAGGGUUUAUGUUAUUGGUAUGUUAGUGAAGAGAAAAUAAGAGAAAGUGAUGAGAAAUAAUGUAGAGAAAGAAAAUAAGAGUGUUAUAAACUUAGUAAUCAAUAUUUUACACUAAAACAGUUUGGACAGCAGCAGUAGGUUAACUUUGAAAAAUCACCAAAAAUUGUGGGAAUUUAAUUAGAAGAUGAAUAAAAUAUGAAAUUAAAUCUUAUUGAGUCUAGUUUCUCAUAGAAGAAACGGUGUAAGUAAUAGAAUUGUAAAUCAUGAGAUAUAAUAAAUUUUGUGAGACAAUGUCAGAAUGAUUUCGGGUUCCCCUGUUCUGACUUUGGAAAAUCAUCAAAAAUUGAAGAAAAAUAAUUAUGAGUUAUAAUUUAUAUGAUUAGAAUACUUAAUGAAUACAUUUUCAAAUUAAAUAAACGAAACAUCAUCCAAAUUCUGUACAAUUAGAUAAUUCAUUUUUAGUGAAGAGUGGUCGGAACUGUCAGACAGCAAAAUAGGGGAAACUUUAAAAAAUAAACUGUACUAUUUGGCUGAACCAAAAAUUCUGAAAAUUUUAUGGCAAGAAUAUAUGUGAGUCUAGUUUCAGGGAAAAUUAACGGAUCUUAAUUUGGAUUUCUGUAGCUCAAGAUAUAAAUGAUUUAGUGACUAUGACUCAAAUGGACAGCUUUGAAUAAAUUUACAAGAAAAUAGUGAAAUUAUAGAUAAUGUUACUUAUAAGCAUGUUAUGUAAAUUAAGGAUGUGGAAUGGAGAGGAGGAGGAGGAAAAUAAAUUUAUGAAUAUUAUGCUAGCAUGGAUUUUCAUUUCAAAUGGUUAAUUUGCAUGAUUUGGGCUCGAGGACUAAAUUGAAUAAAAGUAAAACUUUAGGGGCAAUUUUGGAAAAAUGUCAAAAAUGGCCAAAUUGCAUGAAAUGAAUUGUUUUAUUAUUUAAAUUACUAAAUUGAAUGAAAUAUUAAUUUAGAUCAAUAUUGGGUGGAAAUUCGAGAAAAAUAGAAAUUUUUCAAAAUGUCCCCGAAUUUUGGUAUUUCUGCAAUUUAGCCUGGUAAGUUCGUAUGAACUAUAUUUUGUAUAAUUUUAAUUGAAUUGAAUGCUAUUUGGUAAUGAAUAUUAUAUAUAUGUGUGUUUGGAAUUGAAUUAUUAUUGGAUGUUUUGAAAUGAUUAUCGAAAGCUCAAUUGGGUUGGAGAUAUAUCACAUUAUCCAUUGGUUCUAUCGGAAAUUUUGGAUGAUUUGAUUCUGGUUAUUGUAUAAGUUAAAUUGGUUAAUGUUAGCUCAUAAAUGUUUUGAUUUUGAUUGGUUAUAAAUAUGAAUGCUUGAUGAAAUAAAAUGUCUGAAAAUUAUUUGUAAACUCUGGUAAUGCUCUAUAACCCUAUUCUGGGGAAGGAUACGCAUUAGGGGUGUUACAGUUUAAAUACUUAAGGAACCGAAAGCUAAUGUGUUGGGUAUAUGACUUCUACAAUAUGUAGCAUAAUUUACAAUAGUAGAAUUCAUAGCCCAACUAAAUAGGUAAGUGAUAUCCUCUCACAGACAUGACAUGAUAGAUGAAAAGUAAAAGUUAUCACGGGUUGUUUAUCUUUGUGAUAAAGGACUUUAUUACUAUUUGAUAGUAAUUGACUUUUCAUGAAGGAACAUGUAAUGGUUACAAUGAGAUAAAAUAAGAUCAUAUUGGGAGAACAGAUUUAUCCCAAUGAGAUUAAGGAUAUCCUAUGAGGGUAACACACUUAUGACAAGGUCAUUGAACGAACACUGAUUAAGUAGCUUUCGUAAUGGUAAGUAAUUAGGGCUAGCCCAGUCACGAUACUAUAGUGGAACGACUUCGUGAUUAAAUGAGUUUAUAAUUAAUAGGCGAAAAGCUGAAAUUUAAUUAUAAAUCAUUUGAGCAUUAAUUCAUAUGUCCAAUCGGUCCAUCUGCAAGCUUGUUGAAACUGAAAAUGAAUUGUAUGUAGAAUCAAAUAAAUAGAAAUGGAUGAAAAUGAUAAAGAUAAAGAAAUGAGUUAUAUUCGCAAAUGAUAAAUUUUCCCCUCAUAUUAUUAUACUAGUAACCAAGUGAGGCAUAAAUGUUAUAUUGAUCAGUUCAAAAGUUUUUCAAACUCGUACUUUUGUAUAGACUAAAUUUCUUUCUCACAUGUGAAUAAACACAUUUAUUUUGUUUAUAAUAAUAAUUCAUAAUAAGUACAAAAUAUAUUUAGAUUAAAUAUGAAAAUUAUUUAUAUUAAAUUAAUAAACAGAUUUAAUAAUAGUUAAAAAUAGGCUUUUUUACAAAAAAAUAAUUAAUUACAAAAAUAAAUUGAAGGAAAAACUAUUUAUGAAAUUGAGAUUUUAUUUUUAUCAACUUUUUGUUUUGGUAACAAAUUUUUUUUUUUCAAAAGGGUUCUAAUGGCACUCAUUUAAAUUUUUUUCAUUUUUUUCUCCCAUCAUAUAUACACGUGAAAAUAUAAGUAUUUUAAAAAGUAGACAUUGAUGUUACCUGACGCAAUGGUAAGAUCAAUAAAAAUUUCAUCUUUUGUCCGAAAAGUUGGAUGGUGCCGCCAAAAUUAAGCCAAAUUUACUUUGUUUAUAUUGAAUAAAACGUGUUAUAUAGUGUGUGGAGCCCGUAGCCUUCACGGUUUGGAAAAUACGGAGAAAGUUUCGUGCUGGAUUCAUCCCCCUCAAACUAGAAGCGUCAUUCAUUCAUUCUUAUCCGCCCAACUUUUAUCCCUUGUGUUGUGACACAAUGUUUUUAAAAAAAAAAUAGAAAAUAUCUUAACCUUUUAUUUUAUAUUAUUUUUCAAAUCACUUAAAAUAAUACAAAAAUUAAUAAUUAACUUUACUAUGUGACAUAUAUGUGAAUUAUAACAUUAAUAAUUAAUUAAUUUUUUAAAAUUAUAAAAAAUACUUUAAAAAUUUUUAUUUUUUAAAAAUUAAUAAAAAGUUAAUACAACAUAUACAUGUCAAUCUACGUGUAUUCCACAUCAUUGUAAUUAAUAAAUAUUAACCAACUAUUAAGCCAAAUUUUACAAAUUUUUUUAUAAUUUUAUAAUAAUUUAUUAAUUAAAACCGUAUUUAUAAUUGAAAUGAGGAACCAAAAUUCCACCACAAUACUUCUCUUGACCCUAAACGAAUACUCGAACAAUCAUGACCACACUUACAGGAUUACAACGAAACAGAAUGGAAAUUCUUGAGGUGACCGAAGUUGCCCCAAUCUCUAACUCACCAGAAUCAAAGACUAAAUUCCGUCUUCCACUCACUUUCUCCGACAUAUUCUGGUUCAAGCUUCCUCCUGUUGAGCGCCUCUUCUUUUACCAACUCGACGACUUAACCCCUGCCUGUUUCAACUCAGUUAUCCUCCCAAAACUCAAGCGCUCUCUUUCUCUCACACUCGUCCAUUACCUCCCCCUCGCUGGCAAUCUCAAGUGGCCACCAAUCGAACCUAAACCCAUCAUUUUAUACACUCCAAACGAUGGAGUUUCCCUCACAGUUGCCCACUCCGAUGCCGACUUUAACAUCCUCUCCAGCGACGGGGUCUAUGAUGCUGCUGAGUUGCAUCCUCUCAAACCUGACCUCGUAACUUCAGAUGUUUCGGCAUCAGCUAUAGCUGUGCAAGUAACCCUGUUCCCAAAUAAGGGGUUCUGCAUAGGAAUCACAGCUCACCAUGCAGUUCUUGAUGGCCAAACCACAACCAUGUUCAUCAAAUCUUGGGCUCAUAUAUGCAAGCAAGGCAACGACGAGAACUCACCCUUGCCACCUGAGCUAACACCAUUUUUCGACAGGUCUGUUAUCAAAGGUCCUGAUGGACUUGACAUGUUAUAUUUGAACCAGUGGCUAGCUAGUAGCGGGUUAGAUUCAGAUACAAGUAAGAAAAGCCUGAAAAUCACAAGUGCAGGAGGAGGAGCAGCAUCAGAUCUAGUUCGAGCAACGUUUGAGAUUACUCGUGAAGAUUUCAAAAAGUUAAGGGAAAGGGUGUUACCUAAACUACCAGAUAGUGGGAAAGAAAUGCAUCUAUCAACUUUUGUGCUUUCGUUUGCUUAUGUAACAACUUGCAUGGUGAAAGCUAGAGGAGGAGAUGGAGAUAGAAAAGUUGCUUUCGCAUUCACAGCUGAUUGCAGGCCACGAUUAAACCCUCCUGUCUCACAAAAC
rnacentral:lncRNA from 1 species